UUUUUGUUUUGUGCUCAAACAACAUGCUCCAUGAGUCAGAGGAAAAGAGCUCCUGUUUUAGCCUUGAAACAUUAUCAGCGUUAUAGUCAUCCACUUGAAUCAUUCUCUCAUCUUCAAGGUAUUUUAGUGCAGCACUGAAAGCAUUAUGUAUUGAUAAUUUUUUGGUGAGCGCAGGCUUCCCAAUAAAUUCCUUUGAGCCUCUUUUACACGUUUCUUUGCACAAAAUAUUACCAAUUUCUAUUUUCGUCAUGUAUAGAUCAUCAUCCAUCUCAAAGGUUUUUUCUGCCUCGAUGCUCAGUCUUAGUGCUUUUGCUGCCAGAGCAAAGAUCUCCUUCUUGUCCACCCUAACCACAGCGGGCACCUAUGUACAAUGGGGGAAAACAGAUCAGACAACAACAGAUCUGGGAGGAAGGAAUGGAUGAAAGUGGCGGCAGUGUGGAGUGAACAAAAGUAUGGGGUAGGAUUACUUGUACCUUCGGAAGCAUGUCGUCGUCAUGCUCCUCUGCUAAGUCCCGAAGGGUGAUAGCUUCCAUUGAGUCCAUAGCAAGAAAGCCAGGAUAGGGUGGCCGCUGAUGCCUGCAGUUGGGAGAGACUAUGGCGAGUUUGCUGAUGGAGGGAGAAAGGCAAGGUGUGGUGGAGACGGUGCAGGUAUUGUAGGUUGGAGAGAGGAUGUGGGCCUGUGUUGGAUGGUUGUUGUCGAUCGGUGAUUGGCCUAUGGUGUCAGGUGACGCUGUAGCAAUGUCCUAUGGACGCCUGUACGUACGCACGUAUUUGGUUUGUGUGGCUGAUUUCAUCUGAGUACGUAUCCCAGGAGCGUACGCAGUUCGAGGGGAGGGCUGUAUGGUUUGGUAGACGCCAUAGAGAGCGCGACAUGUCUAGAAGUAUCGUAGCGCGAGCAAUUUGACAUCACAACAAAAUCUUUGAUCAUGCACGGAUAAGGAAUCAAAUUCCAUACAACUGUUUCUAGACGAAUCAUCCACAUAGCAAAGACAACAUUGGAAUGCACGAUCAUGGCUACAGGACGUUCACAACCAAUGAAUAAAAGGGUUCAUAGUUCUCCCAGGUCAAACAGGUUCCCUAGCAAAAAUAAGCUGAGCAGUUUGGGCAACUCUACUUUAUAGUUUGGGCAGCGCUGAUAUCUGGAUGCUGCCACCAAGGAGCAGCAAUGCCCUGCUUACAUGCACAAACACGAUCAAUAGGGACAGCUUCAAUCUCGAUGAAGGGGAGUAGCUUUCGAUGGCUACAGGCCAAGACAUGGCUAUAGCAUACACCACUCGUUGUCGAUCCUCAGCGUGCAGCAACAUCAUCAGGUGGAGUUCCCAGCACGGAUGAGAGGACACCGGCAAAAUGAGGUAGGAUCCUCCUCUAGAUGGCAGAAUUCAGCAUACACCAUCAGUGUGCAGCAACAUCAUGAGGUGGAGUUCCCAGCACGGAUGAGAGGACACCGACAAAAUGAGGUUGGCAGAAUUCAGCACACACCAUCUGGUGCCGAUCUUCGGCGUGCAGCAACAGGAUCAGGUGGAGUUGCCAGCAUGAAUGAAAGGACACCACCAAAAUCAGCAAGGAGCCUCCUCUGGAUGCCAAAAUUAAGCUUCUCCAUCCAAGCAAAAGAUGUAAACCAGCGUGGAUAUGCUGUGAUAAUUGGAUCAUGUUAGGUAAAGUAGCAGUAAACGAUCUGAAGAUAUCACUGGUACCACCGUUACUGAGUGUUACCUGGUCUACUCACUGUCAUUAGUCAGACAGUGGUCCACACGAGGGCGCUUCUUCUCAGGAGCACCAUCAUUGUCAUCCAAAAGGCUAUAGAAAUAGAGACAUGAAGUUAUAUAUCUCUAAAUGGUGGCAAUAAUAUCUAUGCAGAGGACUAAUGGCACAUGCCUUUCUUGGGUCUUAGUGGCAGAGGUCUUAGGUGUCUGAUCUAGGGGCUCGUCCUCUGUGUGAGAAUCCUUGGUCACCAGCUACGAUGAGCAACACAGAAAGAGUCAUGCACCAUGAGAAAUAACGCUACAAGAACGAAAAGCGCUACAAGAAUGAAAAGCACUCUGUAUCCAGCAUGACGAUAUAUACCUCCUCAGUGGUUCCCUCAGCAAAAGCCAGCUUCUUUUUUGCCAAAGGCUCGCUGCUCCUUGUAACGGUAGGGCUAACAGAAAAAAGUCUAGAGCUUUAGAACAAUAAAACAACAUGGACAAGCACAUGGUAUUAUAUCAUUGUAAUAAUGUCUCUGGAUUUUAGAAAGCAGCAGUGGAAUCUGCUUUGUCUGUGAUAAAGAAUGGGAAUAGAUGUAUCACCGCGUGUAGCUCUUCACGGACGGUGGGUCACUGGGCUGGAAAGCUGGAGAAGGUGUCUGCAGCAUAUAUGUAUUUGAGAUCUAUGAGAAAAAUAUGUGGAUUAUAUUUGUAGGCUCAACAAACACAAAUAAGUUAUAUCUUACAGCUGAAGACACCGGGGAAGAGAGGGUGCUGUUGUAUGGGUCAUGGACAUCAUGAGAAGUGUUCUGGGAAGAGCCUUGAGCAGCAACAUCACUACCAAGAGAACGACUGCCUCCAUUAUCAAUAGAACCAACAGGAGAAGGCUGGCUACCAAAUGCUGUAACCACUGAUAUAAUCUGGUAGGUCUUCUGCUGCUUAUAGUAGCUCUGCUGUGAUAGAGCAAUGGCAAAGGUGAACGUCAUUGAAACAAUCCUUGUAAUUUCUGGUGGAUAUCUGUUGGGGCACGUAGCUGAUCUAAGAAUCUGUUGCACCGGUUUCCCAAUGAUUCGGCGCGCAACAUCUCCAAAGCAGAUCAUCUCUGCCUCAUCUGUCCCAUCCAACGCCAUGAAAGAGAUUUUGUACCUGGUAUCAAGCAAUGGUAAAGAGUGAUCUACUGUUUGGAUAGAAUAAUGUUGUUGGGUCGUACAAUCAAGGACAUUAGACUUCAUAAAUCUGAAACGUCAUUUAGACGAGACACUACUUGAACUUGAAGGAGGUGUUGGAGCAUGAGUUGCAUUUGUAUCCUGUGCCGUCCGGAACACAUGACUUGCUACAUUUGGUACAAGAUGGGAACCACCAUGUUGCAUUUGGAAGGAGGCGGGCAACAGUAACAGUGCAGCGGUAGCCAUUGUCCUAUAGUAUAAUAGAAAAUUUUUGUUAUGGACAAAAGAGAACUAAGACAUAGUGAUAGCAUGAAACAUCAGUUGGAGCAUAUGUUCUUACAGCAAAGUCAUACGGGUCCAUGUUAUUCAACUCGUGUAGAGUCUUCUCCAUGCGCUGCACAGGAGCCUGAUCCUUGCCUUCAUCCUCACACGGUGCAGGAGGAAAUCUGAUUUCUAACUUCUGUCCCUGAUAACUGGAUAGAAGAGCAAAUUACAUCAGCACGAAGACUAUGUAGGCUAGGUUGUGGCAGGCAAGAAAACGACUGUUGUGGCCCAUAAGCAUGCAGAGCGUACGCUGUAUUAAAUUUUUGGGCUUCUGGAAUAGAAGGAUCAAAGUACCACCGAGAGGCUGUGUUGCAACUUAGGUAGUACGUACCUGAAAAUGUUUGGUACAAACAACUGAGAACCAUCGAGAGUAAAACGAUGUCUGAAUAUGCACGAAAUAGGUAGGGAAAAUAUCAGGCAGAGAGUACCCAGAUAAGACUUCAUCAGGCCUCCAACAAAUAGUACCGUGAUUGGUUUAGCCACGCUAGCAUCAUAUACACCAUCAGUAGUGAAAGCAGCGGCUCGUUCACCCCAUAGGGUGAUUUUGAUUUCAGAAUAGCUGCAUAUAACAUAACAAAAUUAGCGCUAACUAUCGAGUAGAAAACAUUUUAGGGGAAGGAUGGUCGCGCAGAACUAUUAGGACCUUAAAUCUCUAAGAACGAUGUGCCUGGUAAGAAUAGGAAUAGGUUUGUUUGGCAGGCGAACCCUGUAAGCCUCAGAAACUUCAACCAAGACUCCAAUAGUAUCUGUGCAUGUGACAGUAUUAGCAGAGAAGGACAACAAAAAACAAAAAGGCACCAACUUUAUAGCCAACAACAUACCAAGGAAAUUUUUGGUGUCACCAGCAUGCGUAGCCAGUGCAUCGAUUGGUGUUAUCUUGUAAGCAUAUUGUGGGAAAGCAAGCAAGUCAGUUUUUGCAGCUGAAAUGGUUGUAUGUAGCGUGAAUUCGACCAUGUAGGGAGAAUCCACAGGUCUGUAUCCUGACUUUGCAUUGGAAACUCUAAAGCGACUGAUGAUGUAGAUGCCACCUUCCUCUAGCAAGGGACUUUUUGUCUCCACUUCUUGCUGUGGGAUCUCACCAUACAUGCUGUUACCCUACAUAUUUUGUUGUGUCACGGUCAUAUAAGGCUAUUCGUUAAUCCCUGUUUAGAAUAUACCUGUAACAGCACACCAAAGGAACCGAAGAUCUAAGUACAGACCUGUUCAUCAAGAAGUACAAGGUCAACAUGCUGGAUUGGUCCAUCAUCAGUCCCACCAUGAUACUCCCAUUUGCGGCAGACUCGGACACAGAUGGUUGAACGCCACUGGCGAGGCCGCAAAGCAGGCAGCAGGUCAAAGGCCAUUGUAGGGGACUGCAAACAGCAACAGUAAGAAACAAUCUAUAACCACAAUGUUGAGCUACUGGCAUAGAGCAUAUGAUAAGUAGUUGUAAAGAAAUCUAUAGAAAAAGACUCACUGUUUUUCCUCUGACGCGGACCACAUUUUAGAGGUAGUAAUGGGCUCAAUGAAUGUAAACAAAACAAAGAACUAACUGUUCUCUACCCCCCCUCGCACGCACACACACACCCACCAGGAUACAAAAGGAAAAAGGACCACCAAAACAUAGGUAGUCUAAAUAUGGCAGCCACCAACACAGGAGGCAGUAACAACGGACAUGCAAUUCAAAAAAAGCAGAACCGGUUCUGUAGAGUACCAUAAGAAGGUAUUGUUCCGUUGAACAGAGCAAGCCAAUUUAAGGAGGAGGUGUGUGUAGACACAACGCUGCAAAGAUCUCAUCAUACACUAUGUUCUGAGUUGUAUCAGUACAAUUUCCUUGAGCAUCCUCGAUGAGUAUCUUGAGACCACUCUUCGAGGUAACUCGAGAAACAGCGACAUAGAGCUGGCCAUGGCUAAAAACCGGAGUUUUUAGAUAAAUACCUACAUGCGAUAGAGUCUGACCCUGGCUUUUAUUAAUGGUCAUUGCAUAGCAGACUCUAACCGGAAAUUGGCGCCUACGUAGAGCAAAAGGCAACUUUGUAUGUUUAAGAAUUAGACAGAUCCUAGGUAUGUGCACAAUGUCUCCAACAUGGGUUCCAGUCACUACCUGUGCCUCUAUAAGCAUCUCACCAACAUUAGUCACCACCAAUCGAGUUCCAUUACACAGACCACCAGACUGGUCAAGAUUUCUAAGCAUCAUUAUUGGAACACCUUUUUUAAGCAGCAAACGAUGUUGCGGAAAAUUAUUUCCAUUCAAAGAAUUUAGGAACUCAACAGGAUAUAACAUUUCAUAAGAAUCAUGUGCCCAUGGGGACUUAACCAUCUCAUCACAACUUAGAUACUCUCUGCUCUCACUUGGUAGCAAUGACACCACGUACGAAUUGAUAUUAUCAGCUAUCUCGUUGGUCGGUGUUAGAAUCGCCCUAUCCUGUAGGUAUAGUGGAUCACAGUACCUUCCAGAUAGAUCUGGAUAUAUGUUGUCAACCAUGUAUGAAAUUUUGUCCCCGUCUGUCAUAAGCAAUAGAUCAGGGGGUAUCUGUAUGUAGUUUCCAUCAGUGUCACCAAUUCUCUGUACACCAGGUACCUGACCUUCCCCAACAUUCAACACCCAUUCACUAAAGCUAGCAAUCUCUUGCUGGGCUUCCAUCGUCAAUUCUGGACAACGAAGCCUCAUGUUCAUAGUUAGAGAAAGGACCGUGACAUGCCUCCACAAUGGAGAAUUGACUAGUGCAGCGUUAACAAUUUCAGUUCUAGUACCGCCUUCAAUCACAGGUAAGAUUUGCCUUAGGUCGCCACCUAGCACAACAACCUUACCACCAAAAACCAAUUUGUCUGCACCCAUUGUUUUACAUGACAUAAGAUCUCGAAAAGUUCUAUCUAAGGCCUCAAACGCAUGCCGAUGAGUCAUGAGGGCCUCGUCCCAAAUAACCAGGGAUGUCUCUUCAAUCAAUUCACAAAGCAUGGAACCACGUCUAAUAUCACAGAUAGAAUGCUCAUCUAAGUCACAUGGAAUCUUAAAGCGAGAAUGAGCAGUUCUACCACCAGGCAACAACAAAGAUGCAACACCAGAAGAUGCAACGGUAAGAACAAUUUUUCGCUGGGAGCGUAACCAAGCAACCACAGUCCCCCAAAGAAAAGUUUUGCCAGUACCUCCAUACCCAGACACAAAAAAGAAGCCUGGUCUACCACUAAGAACUGUAUCUGUAAUAGACUUGAACGCACUGGUCUGCCUAGCAUUUAGUUUGCUAAUCAUUGAUUGAGCCUGAAGCAACAGUUUGUUUGUGUCAUAAGAAAGCUCAUCUUGAAUGAGCCUAUUGCCAACUACAUCACCUAAACUUUUACUGCGCUCGGGUAAAUUACGGUCCCUCAUCCUUACCCCAUUUCUUGCAAAGAGGGCCGAAAGCUCAUCUAGCAAAGAAUCUCUUAGAUCGGUUUCAGGAAUUUCAUAUUCAGUAUUGCCUAAAAUAUCUCUAAGACGGUACUGUAUGUCAUCGGCAAGCAGUUUCCAAACUUUUUCAAAGAAAGCAUACUCAUCAUUCACUUCACAAAAUAAAAGCAUAGUCACAAACAACUUCCUUAGCUGGCGAGAUGUAGCCCAAGCAGCAGCCUCAUCAAAAGCAUUGUACCAUUCCCUAUCAUCAGCGAGAAGGCCACGCACACUACACGUCUGUUUGAAUGUGGGAUACAAAAUACCAUUAUACUGCCUGACAUCCUCAAAGGUUUUAGCACCUCUAACCACAAGAAGAAGCAUCCUAAGAAAGUAUCUCUCGCCAACAGAAGGAUGCACAUAGUAAAGACGACCUAUCUUACCACCACCUCGCUGUCUAGCAUUCCACGAUCUGGAAGAACUAUCCCAUGUAUAUCUGGAAGGAAAUUCACAGUAGGUGAGGUCCUUGCCUAGAGGACUAUUCUGGUUUGCCACAAACCAUUCAGUCAGCAUCGUCCUACGAAGGAAUUCUAGGGAGGCAAUCUUUGUUAAAUCAGCAUGGGUAUCGUACACUAUACAAUUGUCAUCUGGCAGGUGCACAGGCAAUCUUUCUACAGGGGGGUAAUGUCUGUGAAUAUCAAAUCCAAAUAUACGCCAACAAGCAUCCUGCUCACAAAUGUAUCUACAAUCAAGGUAUUCUUUAACUUCAUUGCGUGUUUUUGUUUGGUCAUCAUAGGGGGCAGGCUGACCACUACGUAUUCUUUCUAUGUAUACUUUACCACGAUCAGGACCCUUAGUCACAUAUUUGAAUAGGUACUUAAUAAAUAUUCCUUUGUUGCACCAUUCCACAUUGAUAUGGGCCUGAUAUUUUUUUAGGAAAAACAUGUUAUGCGGUACAACCCAUGCGUUAUCUAGUCGAGUAGUGCCCUUUUCAAUGUACAGUGCAUUGGCGGGUCUUUUAUAUACAGCGAAACCAUUUUCGUCAACAGUAGUUUGUUGAUGGUGUUUUUUGGGAAACUUCUUUGAGCAUUUAUUGUUUUUCAUGCAUGGACAUGUUUCGUGACCUCUUCCACACGGGCCGUGCAUCAUAUGUUCAGCAACCAAGGCAUACCCUAGGGGAUCUAUACAUGGAUCUGGGAUCUCUGCACUAAUGUGUUUAUCAAUGAAUGCAGGUGUGGGGUGUGAAGUAUCCUGUGCAAGCCAAACAAUAAUAUGAGCAUGAGGAAGGCCUCGCUUCUGGAAUUCAACGGUGUGCAACACUAAAAAACAAGCAAAGGAAUAAACAUAAGAGCAUGUCAAUGAAGAAAGCAAGCUGUUUCGAUGAAGAAAUGGACAGGUCUAGACAGAGCAUACCAGCACUGAUAGGUCCAAAAGCAGUACCAUCCCUUAUGUCAGUGAGUAGUUCCUCGAGCUUCAUGUUGUAGACCCUAACAACCAAAUCAGCCCUAUCUGUCGCUUUCUGGCCAGGCUCAAAAGACAGAGCUCCUGUAAUCUCUGGCCAUUUCGGAUUGCAUGUGAAUGUUGUAAAAAAGUCAGGGGGGCCAUGUACCCUACAGAUCGCAAUUGCAUCAUGGUAGUUCUGGAUCAUGUAUCUCCUACCGCCAGUAUGGGAGGCUGGUAGCACAGUUUUCUUGCCUAUUUCAGCCCCAUCAACACACCCAUGAUCAACGUCAUCCACAAUGCCUUGCAAGUUUUCCAUACGCAACUUAGGUUGGUUGUUAAUUAUAUACCAGAGUCUAUUCUCGUCGAUAGAUGCACGCGCGUCAAUCUUAGCCUGUGUGGAUAAACUGCCAUAACAUAGGUAAGGAUUCACCUGGUGCUUUCUAUAGUGAAACAUAUAUCUAAAGUAAUCUUGCAUCGUUAUUUUAGUCCUUGCGUUUUCACCAUUCACAUUAACACCGCUGUAAAGCACCCCCACCUGAUAACCACGCUCACCGUACGGGAACAAGAGUGGAUACUGCAGGGCCAUAUAUGCAGGGUGCAGCGAGGAAAUAUGCAAGUGACCAGAUCUUGUUUGGACAACUAUAUCUCGUUGGUAAGUGUCUGUGGAAAAAUCUCCGGCAACAAGCAUAACAAGCUGAUCAACAGCUGGAAGGUUGUACUGAACCGGGUCACCCUCUCGCGCACCAAUGAUCCGAACUACAAAUUCUUCAUUGUCGUCCUCUUCAAGUCUAUCCCUGGCCACUCUAAAUUGGCUCGCCAAUGGAUUAUGGUCAUCAAGCAUUUUCAGUAGAUCUUUAGUAAGGUGUGGAUCUAAUGGCUCCGUAGGACGCUCACUUGGGUUGAGGGCAUGUAGCCUAUUUCUGACCUCGUUUGCUGUAUCAUAUACGUACAACUGUAGAAAUUUGGGAGGACCACCAUCGUUAGGAAGGAGGGAUCCUAUACGAUGGUGUACCUGACCCGAGAUCUUGAACACAGGAGGUCCACGACCAUCAUUGAGUGAUCUAUCUAUGUUUGCACCCAUGGAAGUGAAAGCAAACAAGCAGUUAUAUUGCCUUAUAUUUUUUAGGAAACGCUUACACCGAGCAUCACCGUUGAAUCUAGCCAAAGAGGAAAGCGGCUCAGGUCGUUCUCUAAAAGGAGGUAUAAUAAUCUUUCCGUCUCUACAACAUUUAUUGUAGACUACUUUACCAGAUCUUAAGUUUGACUGUCCCACGGCACACUCACGCAGCCAAAAGGUAGCAUGACAGUGCCUACACUCAUACUCUGGCAGGCCGUAGCUCGAACGACCAGGAUAGGAAGCUACACGCGACAGAGGACAUGCAAAACAUAAGAUGGAAAAAGCAGGAAGAAUCAGUAUUCAGGCGGUCAGCACACAGAACUGCAUUAGAGCAACUAAAGCGCAUCUAUAACAACCAAACCUUUCAAUGCCUCAAUAUACUCCUCUGUGAAACGACCACAAGGCACGGGUGCCUCACUGAUAUUGGGAGGCCCUAGCACACAACAGCCGAGGAGAGGAAAAUCAGACUGACAAUACGAACACAGACGAAGAUCCGAGGGACGAGAAAAAGCACCUUCCUUUGCUAAUCUCCGUUGGUCCAAAUACUUUUUCUGUCUCUGACGACACUCGACAGCCGAGAGUCUAGGUGGCGUAUGGCAUGCACCCUCGGCUAUAUCAAACGAACAAUUAGGCUGGAACAAUUCUACUCGCCAUAGUGGUAGCAACAUAGAAGAGGUGUAGGACACUGGACGUACAUCUCCUCCUACGACAGGGUGUUUUCGUGUUCCUUCUUCCAGGUCGUGAAGAAGCUAGUUAGAAGAUAGUAGGAUUCAGUUAGGAGGUGUGAGCGCACCGGAAGCACGAUAGCAGCCUAUGCAUUGGUAAAAGGCAGGAUCGAAACAACAUACAGGGCACGUCGUGAGCACCUGUGCUGCAGAGCACAGCAGGCCGAUCCGACACAUCCAUCUACUCCUCCACAAAAUAUAAGGAAACAUUUUCACAGGGCUCAAUUUAUCACGAAGACACGCAAUUAGAUUAUACACGAGAAAUCCAUACACGGCAUCAUCCAAACUGAGAAUGUCAAACAAAAAGAUUAAGAAAUGACACCUCCUUCAUGAAACACUGAGACUGCAUAAGCAGAUCUUUGCGGUUAUUGUCUACUCUAGCAAGUAUCCCAGCCGCCCUUGUAGCAACCGCAAGAGCGCUGCGCGCAACCCUACGACAGAGCACAACUCCCUGGAAAUUAUAGUCAACCACGACAAACCCAUAUAGGUUCUGUAAAAACGCUAUGGCUUGCAAAGCAGCCUGCUCGUACCCUGCACCAGAAAACUCACUCUGAGGCGCCCAAAAGAAAAAACUACGACAAGCACGAUGCGUGUCGAAGCACGGCACCUCUACCUCUACACCGUACACAGGGGAUCCAUCGGUCGCGCGCUCGAACACCACCGACGCAUAUGGCAGUCCACACCUAGCUGCCACCGACUGCAGCAGCGACAGGUAGGACGGUCCAACAACAAACAUCUUAGGUCCCUGUGGAAUACGCAAAAGGCGCAAAAGGCACAAAAGGAGAGACAGCCAAAACCAAGGACAGACAAGCGCCGCAACGCUGAAAGGAAAACAAAGAACCCCCCCAAAACGAAAAGGUAAAGCAUAUUUUUGUUAGAAGCAUGAAAUGAGCAGCACUGAGUAGAAAACCUCAAGAACACAUUAGUUCAUCAGAAGUCAAACGACGCAUACCGAACGCAGGUUGCAAGCCUAGGAGACAGGACGUGUGCGAAGCACGAGCCGCCGCGCGUCUGGUGGCCUUCGUCACCGGCUGGACAGCAGAUCCGCCAGUAGCCUCGGACCAGAACCUAGAAAGCAACGGCGCCACCUUGUCCCUGCAGAGGAAGAAACAACAAAUCAGAGAGGAGGAGGAACACGGGGAUCAGAGAGCCCCAGAUCAAAACAACAAAUCAGAGAGGAGGAGGAAGAUGGGGAGAAUCGGGGAUCAGACAGCCGCGGAUCAAAACAACAAAUCAGACAGGAGGAGGAACACGGGGAGAAUGAGAGAGGAGGAGGAACACGGGGAUCAGAGAGCCGCGGAUGAGGCGCAGGCGGACCUGUUUCUUGCGGCGGAACGGAGUGCGAAAGAGAAGGUUCUCGGUGGACCUAUCUAAAGCACGAUUCGGGUGAACACAGCACCAGCAGAAUCACAAUCAGCUACACGUAGACACAGACGCUGAGAGAUGGGACCAAGAGGCACAGAUGGAGAUAGGGCCCAGCAGACAGGGCUCACACACCGCAUGGAGGUCUAGCAGGGCGGUUUCACAUGAGGAACCCGAGGCGCUGACCCAGCGCGGGCACCGCGCGGCGAGGCGUGCCGACCAACACGCGCAUCCCUCAACGUACCGAAGAACACCCAGCUGAAACCCGGCGGCACUGCAGCUGGGCCUAAUCGAAAAGAGCCAAUAAACAGACGACAACGAGCUGAGCGAACGAAUGGCCGCUCGACAACGCCGGUACGGAUGCGUACGGGCUGACACCGUUCAGGGCAACUCCUGUUUUGGACUCGAAGGCAACACGCACAGCCGUAGAUCCAAAUCACAACGACACACGUUCUCAUAUCUUUAGAUAUGCUAUACAAAUAAAUGUUCAUGACAUGAUGAGUCGUUAAGAAAAAGUUAUGAACCUGCUCUCACAUAAUAUGGUCUAGCACCACCCUAAUAAAUCCAAUUAUAAAGAAAAUAUCAACCUCAUUCAUUUUGUAUAUGAGUGUAGUAUCUGAACCACAAAUAAAAUGCACGUGUGUGUGACACAUGCAUUCAAAAUGCAUAUAGAAAACUCAUAAUUAACACAGGAGGAGGUUUUGUCCAUUGUUUCAAUAGCUUCAUUCAUUCGCUUCUCCAACAUCUUUUUGACCGCACGCCAUGCUUAUCUAGUACCUUCUUGACAACAAUGGCACAUCAACUACCAUUGGCGGUGCCAUUGCAAAUGGUGGCACCAUCAGUGGCUCCUCCAAUGGUGCCAUUAAGGGCUCCUGCGGUGGCACCAGUAGUAGCUCGGGUUCUAGUGGAAACAGCUAAUGCACAAAUAGCAGUGCAUUUACCAGGAUCACUAGUGCCGUAGCAAAUGGCACCUCCAUCUGUGGCUCCUGUUGGCUGCUGCAAUGACACAAGCACCACCACCAUAACUUCUUCUAGUGCAAGCAAUGGCGGAACUAAUGCUGCGGCGAAUGAGGUGAGCAAGAUUAGGUGCUCGUAGACAGAGCUCUUGAGCAAGUUCACCUUCGACCUGAUGGCGUUAGUGAGGUCAGGGGCCAUGAUGUCGUUGAGGAUGAGGUUUACCUCAAACUAGCUGGGCGGCGUCCUUAUAGCUCUUGAACCGUUUCCCCAUCUUCUUCAAGGCCUAGUGUAGGAAGACCUCAUUGUCCAGCCUGCUCUUCUCAUUAGAGGCCUCAGGCAACUCUAAAUUCUUGUGCAUGAUGUCCUUGGCCUCAUUAUGCCCCGGCAGCCAUAAUGCCAGCUCGGUGUUACCGGGGCCGUAGACCACCAUGGCCAUAGGGAUUUUGCAGAGGAUGGUGAUGUCCUUUUCCUUCUCCAGUAGUUUGGUGUGCGGCUCUUCUGGAACAUCUAGUGUGGUGUGUGGCUCUUCCACAAUGUUGCAUUCCACACUGUGUUCUUGAUGAUCCAUAGGAUCUUGAGCUUCCUAUGAUUAUGUGGCAUGACACUAGGCAAGGAUCGAAACCCCUAGACGGUGGCUAGCAUGAAAUGCAACAAAAGCACAAACUCUCUCUCUUUUACUAUGAGGACACACUGACAACAUUGUCCUUUGAGGACAAAAAAGAUAUUGAGUUGGAAAUAAUAAAAAGCACAAAAAGAUGGAGAAAAUAUUAGAAAGGCUCAAUUCUUAAUUACAUAAUAUGUUAUUAGAGAUUAAUAUAGAGGAAGGAAAGGAAAUCAAACCACAAACAAUAUCAACUAGCUAAAUGUAGUAAUAAGUAGCUAAUUGAAGUAGAGUAGUGUGGUAGACAUAGGAAUAUUGGCAGGUGUGGAGACCCUCUCAACCCCAUCUCCCCUACUCUCCACCACUUGGUGUUUAACUUGCAUCAUGAGCUCAACAAUACAUUGGCAUAACAUUUCUCAUGAUCCAUCAUGUUCUUCGAGGGGUUAGCUACUUACCUCUCUAGGAUGCUUUGGCCUCUGGCACCAGUAGCAAGAUGGUCGGCUCAACCUCACCGACAUUGUGUGUCACCGUGGGGAUGGAGACAUCAUAGUGCGCUAGAGAGCUCCUCGGUCUUCUAAGCCCCUUGGCAUGGCCCCUCAAGGACAUCAGCAGGCACAUGUUCUUGUUGUUGGCAAUCAGUGGGAUCAUGACGCUCUUGUGAGCCUUGAAACAAUAAAGUAACUCUGAAAAUGCUAUAGAGAAUAAGAGGAAAUAAGGUGCUCUCUCUUGGUUGGUGUGAGAUUUAAUGAGCAUGGAGAGAUGCUCAUUUUAUAACCCGCGAGGGUGUGUGGCUGACCUACAAGAAAUUGUGUUUGGUUCCAACCAUGAAAGAGGGACAAAGUAUAAACAUAGAAGAGGGACAAAGAUAUUGAUCUGAUGACACAACAUAGUUGGGAAAAUCAUUAAAUAUUUUUUCCAACUAAGUUACACUUGUGGAUAAGUGCGUAACUUCAUAUUAGUAGGACAUAUGCAACACAAAUAAAUAUUCAUGAUACGAUGAGUCAUCGAGGAAAAGUUGUGAACUUGCUCUCACAUAAUAUGGUCUAGCACCACUCUAAUAAGUUCAAUUAUCUAGAAAAUAUCAACAUUGUUCAUUUUGUAUAAGAGUGUAAGUGUGUGACCCACAAAUAAAAUGUGCAUGUGUGUGUGACACAUGCAUUCAAAAUGCAUAUAGGCAACUAUCAAAUGAAGUAACAAACUCAUGAGGAGGUUGUUUUUUAUUGUGUCAGUGGCUUUCAUCAUUCACUUUCCAACACAUUCUUGACCAUACGUCAUGCUUCUCGAACACCUUCUUGACAACAACAACACAUCAGCUACCAUUGGCGACACCAUCGCAAACACUGGCACCAUCAGUGGCUCCGACGUGCCAUCAGGGGCUCCUGCGGUGGCACCACUAGCAGCUCAGGUUCCAAUAGCGGUGGCUGCUGCACAAACUAGAGAACAUUCGCCACCAUUAGUGGCUCAUGCUGGCUGCUACAAUGAGACAAGCACCUCUGUCGUAGCUUCUUCCAUUGCAAGCAGCGGUAGAACAACUGCCAUGAUGGCUGAGGUGAGUGAGCUUAGGCCCUCGUAGACGGAGCCCCUGAGCAAGUUUCACCUCUAACUUGACGGUGGCAGUAAGCUUAGGGGACAUGAUGUCAUUGAGGAUGAGGUUGACCUUGAGCUAGCUGGCGACGACCUUGUAGCUCUCAAACCGUUUCCCCAUCUUCUUCAAGGCCUGGCGUAGGAAGCCCUUGGUGUUCAGCCUGCACCUCUCCUUGGAAGCCUUAGGUAGCUCUAAACAAUUAUGCAUGAUGCCCUUAGCCUUGUCAAGCUCUGGUGUCCAGAACAUUGGCAUGGUGUUACCGGGGCCGUAGACUGCCAUGGCCACAGGGAUUUUUCAGAGGAUGGAGAGCUCUUUUGUGUUCUCCUACAACACAACAUGGUGCUUCUAGAACAUCAUGUUCCGCAUCGAGUUCUUGAUGAUCCAUUGGAUCUUGAGCCUCCCGUGAUUAUGAGGUUUGGCACAAGGCAAGGAUCAGAACCCCUGGCCAGCGGUCGAUAUGCACCUGUGGAUAAGUGGGUAACUUCAUAUUACUAGGACAUAUGUGACACAAUUAAUAUUCAUGACACGAUGAGUCAUCAAGGAAAAGUUGUGAACUUGCUCUCACAUAAUAUGGUCUAGCACCACUAUAAUAAGUUCAAUUAUGUAGAAAAUUCAACCUUGUUCAUUUUGUAUAAGAGUGUAAGUGUGUGAUCCACAAAUAAAAUGUGUGCGUGUGUGACACAUGCAUUCAAAAUGCAUAUAGGCAACAAUCAAAUGAAGUAAGAAACUCAUAAUUAACACACGAGGAGAUUGUUUUUGAUUGUGUCAGUAGCUUCCUUCAUUUGCUUCUCUACACCUCCUUGACCGCACAUCAGCAUGCUUCUCCAACACCUUCUUGACAACUCCGACCUGACAAUGACGGUGAGCUCUAGGGCCAUGGUGUCAUUGAGGAUGAGGUUGACCAUCUAGCUGGUUGCGGCCAUGUAGCUCUCAAACUGUUUUCCCAUCUUCUUCAAGGCCUAGCGCAGGAAGCUCCCGUUGUCUAGCCUGCCCAUCUUCUUCAAGGCCUAGCGCAGGAAGCUCCCAUUGUCUAGCUUGUGCAUCUCCAUGGAGGCCUCAGGCAGCUCUAAAUACUUCUACAUGAUGUCCUUAGCCUUGUCAAGCUCCGGUGUCUAGAACACCAACUUGGUGUUUACCGAGUCCAUAGACCACCAUGGCCACAAGGAUUUUGCAGAGGAUGGAGAGCUCCUUUGCAUCCUCCAGCAGUGUUGUGUGGUGCUUCCAGAAUGUUGUGUUCUGCACUGUGUUCUAGAGGAGCCAUUGGAUCUUGAGCUUCCUAUGAUUACGAGGCAUGGCACUAGGCGAGGAUCGGAACCCAUAGACGGCGGGCGGGAUGCAAUGCAACAAGAGCACAGAGUCUCUCUCUUUUCGUGUGAGGACAACACUAGCCUAUGAGGACAAACUAGCUGGUUGCGGCCAUGCAGUAGAAAAUAAUAAAAAUAACAAAAAGAAGGAGAAAAUAUUAGAAAGACCUCAUUCUUAAUUACAUAAUAUGCUAUUAGAGAUUAAUAUAGAGGGAGGACUGGAAAUCAAACCAAAAUUAAUAUCAACUAGCUCAUUGUGUUAAUAAGUAGUUAAUUGCAGUAGAGUAAUGUGGUGGACAUAGGAGUGUUGGCAGGUGCCAAGCCCCCUCUGAGCCCCAUCUCCUCUUCCCUAUACCACUGGGUUUUUGACUUGCAUCUUGAGCUCAACGAUACAUUGGCUUAGCAUUUAUCAACAUUCAUCGUGUUCUUCGCGGGGUUUAGCUGCAUACCUCUCUAGGAUGACUUUGCCCUCUGGCAUCAGUGGCUAGAUGGUCAUCUCAACCUCACCAACAUUGUGCGUUAUCAUAGGGACGGAGACAUCAUAGUGGGCUAGAGACCUCCUCGGCCUUCUGAGAGUACCUUGGCAUGGGCCCUUAGGGACACCACCAGCUGAUAACACAUGGGAACGUGAUGCUCGAUGGGCUUUGCUACAACAAAGCAACUCUCAGAAUACUAUAGAGAUGGAGGGAAUAAGGUGUUCUCUCUUGGUUGGUGUGAGAAUUAAUGGGGAUGGAGUUAUGCUCAUUUUAUAACCCGUGUGGGUGUGUGGCUGACCUACAAAAAAUUGUGUUUGGUUCCAACCAUGGAAGAGGGACAAAAUAUAAACAUAGAAGAGGGACAAAGAUAUCAAUCUGAUCACACAACAUAGUUGGGCAAAUCAUUAAAUAUUUUUCCAACUAAGAUACACCUGUGUAUACGUGACUCGCUUCAUUUUACUAGGACAUAGCUACAAAUAAAUAUUCAUGACAGCAUGAGUCGUCUAGAAAAAGUUAUGAACUUUCUCUCACAUGAUAUGGUCUAGCAUCACCCUAUAAGUUUAAUUAUCUAGAAAAUAUUAACCUUGUUCAUUUUGUAUACAAGUGUAAGUGUGUGACCCACAAUAUAAUGCGCGCGUGUGUGACAGAUGCAUUCAAAAUGCAUAUAGGCAACGAUCAAAUGAAGUAACAAAAAUCAUAAUUAACAUACGAGGAGGUUGUUUUUGAUUGUCAGGAGCUUCCUCCAUGUGCUUCUCCAACACCUUGUUCACUGCAGGUCAUGCUUCUGCAACAUCAGCCUUCUUGACAACACUGGCAUGUCAGCUACCAUUGGCGGUGCCAUCGCAAAUGGUGGCACCAUCAGUGGCACAUGCAAUGGUGCCGCCAGGGGCUCAUGCGGUGGCACCAGUAGCUUCGGGUUCUAGCAGCGGUGGUGGAUGCUCCACAAAUAAUGGCGCGUUCGCCACCAUCGAUGAUGCCAUAGCAAGUGGCACCACCAUUAGUGGCUCCUGCUGUGAUGACACAAGCACUGCUGCCACAGCCUCUUCUUGUGCAAGCGGCGGUAGGAAUGACCACCGCUGCAGCCAAGGUGAGCGAGUUCAAACGCUUGUGGACGGGGCUCUUGAGAACUUCGACCUUUGAACUCACGGCGGUGACGAGCUCGGGGGCCAGGUCAUCGAGGUUGCUAUGGCAGCCGAGGCGGAUGUCUUUGAGAAUGAGGUUGACUUUGAGAUGGCGGGCGGUGGCCUUGUAGUUGUAUCUCUCAAACCGUUUCCCCUUCUUCUUCAAGGGCAGGGGCAGGAAGCCCUCAUUGUCCUACCUGUGCGUCUCCUUGGAGGCCUUAGGCAGCUCUAAAUAUUUCUACAUGAUCUUCUUGGCCUUGUCAAGAUCCUCCGGCCAGAAUGCCGGCUCAGCAGUACCGAGGCCAUACACACCAACAUGGACAUGGGGAUUUUGCAGAGCUCCUCGGCCUUCUGUAGCAGCGCGGCGUGGUGCUUCUGGAACGUCGCACUCCACACAGCCUUCUAGACGAUCCAUCGGAUCUUGAGCUUCCCGUGAUUACGAGCAUGACGCUAGCUAGGCGAGGAUCAGAAUCCUGGCCGGCGGAUGGGAUGCAAUGCAACAAAAGCACAAACUCUCUUCUCAUGUGAGGACAACACUGACAACACUAGCCUAUGAGGACGAACUAGAUAUUUAGUACAAAUAGGAAAUAAUAAAAGGCACAAAGAAGGAGAAAAUGUUAGAAAGACCUAAUACUUAAUUACAUAAUAUGCUAUUAGAGAUUAAUAUAGAGAGAGGACAAGAAAUCAAAUAACAAAAUAAUAGCUUUCACUAGCUAAUUGUAUUAUUGAGUACGCCUCAAUAUUAAGUGACUAACACACAAUAUGCAUGGUCUAGGCACCACUCUAAUAACACACAAUAACCCACAAAUAAGAUGUGCGCGUGUCACACUCGAUUUCGUAGAGCCCAAAUCGGGUGUUCUGUGUGUGCCAGGAUCAAUUUCUACAUCAUCAGUGAUAAUCAAAAAUAGUGUAUGAAAAGAGUAUUUUUUUUAUUACAUAAUAAUUCAUCAGAGUUUGGAGUUACAAGCAUGGCAUCAUUAUUAAAACAAAGACUAAACAUCAAGUCCUCCAUAGGAAGGUCGACGAAAGCACAUGCGCCUAACACCCGGGAAUGUCCUUCGGAUGCCCAUCCCAUGCUUCAUCUUCUGAGCAGCCUUUAGUUUUAUUUGAGGAAUAGCAAAGGUGAGUACUUGUCGUACUCAGCAAAUACAGGCAGAAAAUAAUAUGAAAGCUUAAAAUAAGGAUAAAGCUGACUCGGGCUUACUGCAGGUUAGCAUUUUUAGAUGGCAAAGUUUUAUUAAAGCAACCUGUAUUUACUAAGUGAGUAAUAAGAGAUCCCAAAUCCUUAGAUAAAUGAGAAUAUCAUAUUUUAUUAAAAAGUAAUUCCAAAAGUUUUCCAUCAUACGGCAUAGCCAUGCCCAAAGAUAAAACCAAGGUAGCCAUGCCACCUCAUCACCAAGGGAUCGAACCUUCCACUCGCGGGUCUCCUCUGUCCACUUGAGAUAUUUUUUAGGACCUGUGUCCAAAUAUGAUACACUUUUUUCUCAUAUUAUACUAAUCCUAUUUUGAAAUGAGUGUUUGGAACCCUAAAGUUGUCAACUACAAACAUAUUUUUUUCAUAGCUAGAUGAUUAAAAAAUUAUCAACUACAAAGUUCUAUAACUUAUAUUUUGGUCGUUUCACCGUCAUAUGAAAAAUUUGAAUUUCAAAUGUGAGAACUUCAAACAUAAUCUUCCAUGAGUAAAUGAUUUCAAAUAAAAAAAAUCUCAAUUAUAAAGUUUUAUAACUUCUCGAGAUCUACUUUCAUUUUGGACAUGUCUCCAUCUAAGGUCGUUUGAAAAAAUCAAAUAUUAAUACUCCCUCUGUCCAUGAAAGAAUAAAUUUCUAGAGUUGUCCUGAGUCAAAAUUUUUAAACUUUGACCAAAUUUCUAAAAAAAAAAUAUAAGAUUUAUGGUAUCAAAUUAGUAUUAUUAGAUUCAUCAUAGAAUAUAUUUUCAUAUGAUGCGCAUUUUAUAUCAUAUAUGUUGUUACUCUUUUCUAUAAAGUUAGUCAAACUUACAAAAGUUUGAUAAACACGGAUUCUAGGAAUUGAUUCUUUCACGGACGGAGGGAGUAUGUAAUUUUAUGGUUCACCGCCUAUUUUUAGAGGUAGCUCUAGAUCCAGCCCACCUCUAGAAAUCAUUUUGUUGAGAUGGCUGAAUCUAGAGCCGUCCCUACAAAUAGGGUCAUUUGUAGAAGCGUCUAAAAAUACCAUUGGUCCCUAUAAAUCGAUUUUUUGAGGUGUCUUGUUUAGAAAACCAUUUUUAGAGACGGUUUUAGAUAAAAAGUGUCAUGUCUACAAAUGCUUUUUCUAGUAGUGAUAUCCCCUACUAAAAUAUAUGUUUUUACAUCUGCCUACUUUAUGCAAGAUGCAUAUAGGGAACAAUUGAUAAACUGAAGUGAUAAACUUCACAAUAAAUAGACACAACUACACAAUUCUUUUAUGAAGUGGUCAAAACAAAAUUUUCUAGGUGAGCAUUAUGUCCGCCCCUUUCAUAAUGCAGAAAAAUCUGUCUGCGUAAGGGUUAAUCAAGGCGGUCACAUUGCCCGUCUACGAAAAUCAAUCAUGAAAACGAAAGAAAAGAAAAAACCCAUGGUCAAGCCUACUGAGCCCAUCCAUUGGCCCGAUGAGCCCAUAUCCACACGUCGGCACCAUCGCUCACUGGAUCUGCCCUGGUCGCAUCCAUGCCACAUGUGCCAGUGUGCCCCGCAUGGCCGGAGAAGGGUCGGGCCCAAUGAACGUCGAACAUAGGGAUUCCCACACUGCCGCCAGGUCCUACAUGUCGUGUCUCCAUCGGGCCCUAUGCGUGUCGGAGAAGGCAUCUCGUGUCGGAGAAGGAGAUCCACGUUGCCACCACCAGGGGCGGAUCUAGAAUUGGGACAGGGGGGCUAAAUAGUGAAGCUUUAGGGCUAAAACUAGAGAUUAGUGGUAAUUUGAAGCUAAGUACCAUUGAUUUAAAGGCAUAAAUCAGGCUCAAGGGGGGCUGCAGCCCGGGUAGCCCACCCCGUGGAUCCGCCCCUGGCCACAACCAAAUGCCAUGCGACGCGACUCCACAAGGUCCUGCCGCUACCAGAUCUUAUGCGCCAUGGGCGUGUCAGAGAAGGAGAUUUCACGCCACCGUUGCUAGAUUUCACCCACCAAGCCACAACUGGGCCUCCACCGAGAAUAGGAUGGGACCCCACAUCUGUGCCGCCGCCUGCCUCCGUGCCACCAGCUCCGGAGUGGUGCUCAGUUGUCCGCCAACUCUGGCAAGGCAUGCCAGCAAACCUCACUAGGGUUUUGGGUGUGGUCGGUAGAGAGAGAAGGAGUCGGGUGUGGUCGAGCGGCUAAGAUGAGCGUGCCCGCUAUGAUUUCUCAGCAUAUAUAUACUUACAAUCCGUAUAGGGAUGACAUGGCAAGUGCACUCAGCCAUGAUUAACAGAAGUGGGCCUCAUACGAGGUUCGUCUCUGAAAAUAGCCUCCAAGGCAGACUUCAAUCGAUUUUAGAAAGUGGUUACUAUUACCAUCUCCAUAAAUCGAUUUUUUGAGAUGGGUAAUUUUAACCGUCACCAUAAAUGCAUUUUGCGAGACGGUUAAAAUGUCUGGCUCCGUAAAUGAAAACAUCCGCCUCCGAAAGUUCUAAGGUUUUUUACGAGACGAUUAGAUUUUGUGACCGUCUCCAUUAAUAUUUGGGUAGUGUCUCGUAAAAUCACUUUUUUAGUAGUGAGGAACGUAAGCUCAAGGCUUGAAGUGUCACGAGAAUAAUAUAGCAUGCUAGCACUAACCAAAUUAAAAAAAAUAUAUAAAUGAAAAUCAUGCCCCGGCCAGUUUCCAAUGGAGAACACGUCAAAUCCUCAGUCCACUAUAUAGACUCUAUAUAGGGAAAAAGAUAAAAGAUAAAUUCUAAAUUGAUGAAAUUCAGAAUACAAACAGCCCCUAUUGUAAGGACUAUAACACGACUAAUGACAAAUUCCACACUGACUCGAUUGAAAGCAAAUGAACAAACAAAAACCGCAAAAUAGACUGCAUGCAUGCGUCUGAACAGUAGACGUGCAUACAUUACAGCCGCUUAUUUCUUCAGAAAACGUCCUAGAAGCCGCUGCCAUUGCCAUCGUUUAUUGAGCAGGGGUCUUAAAAGACGUAUCUAAAUGCGCGCCACGAGAAGCAGGAGGAUCGGAGGAGACGCGCCACAGCCGGCAGCGCAAGUGAAUUGGCCCGCCGGCCCGUCCUCCUCCAGUGGCCGGCGCGCGGCGGCAAGAAGUGCCGCAGCUGGCUGGCCGGCGCUUGGCGGCGCCCUACAGGCUGCGGAGGUAGAUAUUGGCGGCAGCUUCCUGCAGGCGUUCUUCAACCACCUUCUUGAAAUCGGCGAGGAGCUCGCGGGGCACAUCACCGACGUCCUUGUGGCCGCGGAUGACAUCGUGGAGGAGGAGCUUGGCCUCUGCCUCAUCGUUGGUGGCCUUCUGGCGUCUGAGCUGCUUGGCGAGGCGGCGGAGACGCCCAACUAGGAACUCCUCCAGGUCCGAUGUGUUCCUCGAGGAGUCAGUCGCGGCGGCGGCGUUCCGGCGAGCCAUGCUACAGCAGAGAACGAAACCCUAGCUCGGAAUAUAAUGCUGGAGAAGAAGAGGAAAUUAGGUGCUCUGUCUUCGUUGGUUUGGUGAGAAUGGCGAUGGAGCAAGAGUCAUUUUAUAGCCCGUCUGGCUAACAAACAUGGAAAUUUGUCCCGAGCGCUCAAAACAAUGGAAUAAGGUCAGGUAUCUUGAUUUGACACAGCUAGCACCAUAAUUGUGUGCAGAUCAAAAAAGAUUUCUCCCGCUGGAAUACAACUGUGCAUACGCGCCUACAUUAAUUUAUUUUACCAGGACACGUAAAAAUGUACAUGGCGACACAUUGACGUUACUACUGAAAACACAUCCUUUACCGAGGGCUAAGGCUUUACCAAAGAUUAAAUCUCAGACACUCGACAAAGACACUCUUUGUUGAGGGCCCUCUUCAGAGGUCUUCGGUAAAGAAGGUCCUCGACAAAGACACUCAUGCGGCUUAUUAAGGCCUAAUAUCAUUUACGGCAUAGAUCGAACACACACCGGUAAGAUAACAAAGCAACCACUGCACAGUCACCCAUCUAUAGGAUAAAAAAGGUCCCGUGUGCAUCCAUGAGUAGUUGGGACUACUCUUUGCUAUUUUUUUGGUGCAUGUUUUUAGCCAUAGUAAUAAUAAUCAUACUUGCCAAAAAACAUUUGUUCAGUAGGUAAAAUGAAAAGAGAGGUAUCUUGCUGACACAGCAACAUAAUAAAUGUGCAGAUAAAGAAAAGAUUUCUCCCGCCGCUGGAAUAAAAUUGCUGGGAUACGCGCCUACAUUCAUUUUACCAGGACAUGUGUCGAGAAAAAAUGUUCACAUGACACCACGUAUAUUGCUGUGUCGACAAAAGACUAUGAGAGAAGUUCCUCUUAGCUCUGCUUACGACCUAUUUGGAUCCCAUGGGCUAACUUGGGUUGUUAGGAUAGAGGGACUAAAAGGUGGCUAAAGACGAUCUUGCGUCUUCACAACAUCUUUUAACCUCCUUUAGCCCAUCUUGAAGAGGCUAAUGGACUAAUGCUGACUAAAGAUUAGCCCCUCCCCUUUUAGCCCUCCUGUUUGAAUCCCUAAGGGCUAAAAGGGGGAUGGAUAAUCUUUAGCCUCUUGGAUCCAAACAAGUUCUUAAGGGUUCUAAUAUCCUCAUUAUACAUUGUUGCUUUGUCGAGUGUCUGUAACACUCGGCAAAUACCUAAACACAUUUGGCAAUGACCACACAUCAAAUUUUUCUCGGCAAAGUGGUUUUUCCACGUACUAUUUUUCAGGUACUCGGCAAAGCCUUUGCCGGCACUCGGCAAAGAUUGAAAUGAAAAAAUCCCAAAAAAUAGGAUUUUUCCGGGGGGGCAUUUUUCACGCAACAUACACGGCUACAUGGGUAGUAGGAUUCAAACAUGUGAUCUUCCUCUCGCAUAUCUCCCUCCCUAACCACUAGACAAAGAUCCAGUCUACAGUUGUGGCGGACGGCAUGCAAGAAAGGAAAUUUGUUCACUGCUGAUUGUUGGUGCUAGUAUUGGUGGUUGGUGAGAGUGACAGGAGAUCGAGGGGGCUCCUUUUGUAGCUGAUCUGGCAGAGAGAAAAAUGGAAAGGAGUUAUUGCCUCCAAAAAAUGGUGUAGGAAGCUAUGGUACAGUCUAUCAUAUACUCACUGGAUAAUUAAUUAUGUGAAUCAAAAAAGAUUUGGUUUUUUAUGGCUGGAUAUAGCUAGAUACCUUUAUUUUAUUAUAUUGCAUCUUGUAUAUGGACAACACAUGGCAAAAAAGAUACUCCCUUUGUCCAAAUUAUAUAUUGCUUAGACUUUUUUGUUUCAUCAAUUUUACUAUAUACCUAGACAUAUUAUUAUAUUUAUAUGCAUAGUAAAAUGGAUGUACCAAAAAACAAAGUGGCUUAUUAUAGUUUGGAAUGAGGAGGGUAUUGCUCAAUUCCAUGCAUAAAGGUGGAAAAAUAUAAAAUCUGAAAAAAAUUGCCAAUAGAGAAAUACUAAUUCUCACUGUAGACACCGCAUAUAUGUUAUAGCCAGUACAACCUGCCUAGCAGCGUCAUCUACCCGUUCACGGCAAGGAAGAAGCAACGCUGCUGGUUUAGAGCUAACUAAGAUUGAAUGUUUGGUUUAGAGCAUCGAACCAUUCUAGAUGAGGUGAUACGUUAUAAGUUUAUUUCUAUGAUUUUAUUUUUUAUAAUAGAGGUGGAGAUGUAUCAACUCAUUCUAUUUCAAAAACCAAACAAAAAAUUAAGGAAUGAUGUGACAAUGGACUACCUCUUUCCAUAAAACAAACACCCGUAAACUAUUGGCAAGGCUACAAACCACCAGUGUAAACCUUCAUCGCCAAUUUAUGGCUUCACAUAUUUUUGUUGUUGUUUGAGCCAUAUAGCAUGGUGAUAUAUGCAGGAUCCUCUGAUAGCCAAUUCAGGGACGAAGCCAGGAAAAAAUUUAGGAGAGGAUGAACAAAAGUUUUACAUUAACUUAGCUCUACUAUUACUCCUUGUAAAUAUAGAUUAAUAAUGAAAUUUACAAAAUAUAUCUAAAAAUAAAGUGUUCAGCUCACCCUACCUUAUAAAUUUGUGUCUAAAAUUAGAAGAAAAACACUAAAAAUUUCACUGGGCCAGCAGCGCGCGGUAGGGGGGGCUGGAGCCCCCCUAGCCCCACUGCUGACUUGUCAAGCUAAUAAACUUCCCCCUUUACUCGCAAAAAAGCGAUGGUGAUAUUAACAUCAUCAAUGCCAGUUUAAUGGUAGUGAACAUGCACCCCUCCAACUGAAUCGAUCUUUUAUCACCAAAAACUGAAGGACAAAUUUCAGUAUGGUGAAUUCAUUAGAACAACUCUUAGACUCAUCAUACAAAUGCUUUAUUGCAGCAUUCUUCAUCGCCUCCAUACCCUUUCUUAAGAACAUUGACGAACCAGAAUGACAAUGCAACAAUGCCUCGAAGAACUCUGCUUGUUCACUUUCAUCGACCUGAACUCCGACAUCUUCACCCACAUCUUGGACACCGAUGAAAUCAUCAUCACUAUCAUCCCGCAUAGCUGGAACAGUCCGAGAGAUGUGUUGUCAUGUCUCUUGCACUAGGUUUUCUAUUGCACAAGCCGUGGAACUACCCUCUCCAUGUUUUGCCCAAAUCAAGUAAUCCUUCAUAAAAUCUCGGCAAACCAAAUGAGAAUUGAUUUGGUCUGCGUCCUCAAAUACAACAACAUUUUUUGCAGUCGAUGCACGGACAAUAUAUGUACUUCGUCUUCUCUCUACAAGCAUGCCUCUUAGCGACAUCAAUGAACCUAUGAACCUCUAACUGGUAUGACAGUUCUAAUCUUGAUAAGUUGUACAUCCAUAACGGCCUUUCCAUCUUCAGUUGUACAAAAAUGAUAAUGGUAUAAAUGGGUCCACUCAAAAUGAUUAGAUUAAAAUAUAAAUUAAUGUAAUAAUUCUUUUUUCGAAAGUGUGUAUGUUUCUAGAUGUGUUUACCACCUGUUGUCCUAUUAUUAUACACCUGACUACAGAGUUUUAUACAUACUACUAUAUGUUUGUAUGUAUAUGAUUCUGCCACCAACAUCAGAACUGGACACGAAAAUUUGGUUUGUUAUAUUGAACUUUGGUUGUGGCCUAUACAUAUUUUUGCUUAGCUUGUCACAUAGUGAUUGUGCACUUUUUUUGCACUUUGAUUCUUUAAUUUUUUUUCUCUAUAUUUAUUUACCAUUGCUAUGUUGUUUUCUUUGUACACAGGGUCUUCUUUUGUUUCUAGAUGUGUGUACCACAUGUUUCCAUGUUCUAGUUCAUCUAACUACAGACUUUUAUACAUAGGAUUGUAUGUUUCUAUGCAUAUGAUUGUGGCACCUCCUCCUGAAAAGGAAAGCUUUAAUUGUUGUACUAGUGAGAGAGUCCCCCAUGGAUUAUAUAUUAAUGGUUGGCUCUUGAAUAACCAGGAGUUUACAAAUAGACAUUGAAGUUUUGUUAAGGUUUACAUUGCGCUAGCUAUUGUAGAGAACAAUGAUGUAACAAUGGCCCUAUCAUCUCGUGGCAAUUGAGGCCCCAUAGAUAAGCCUCAGUUUCGCGUGCAACCAACGUAGCAUUCAGCGUUGUCCAAUCAUUCCUGAAUGUUAUGUUGUUUCUCCUUUUCCAAAUAUGCCAACAGCAUAGUAGCAGGAAGGUGGUGAAGUAUUUGGCCGGAAAGUGAGGCGGUGACGGGAACUCCCUGAGAGCUUGAAGUGGCCAAUUAGCAUCCUUUUGAAUUUGCAGCACCUCCCAGAACUGCUUGGUGCUGGGGCAGCCAAAGAUUAUGUGGGCAGGUGUCUCCUCUGCUUGACAAACUUCGCAGACAGUACUUUCCACAAUGUGUUUCUUUUUCAGAACUGUUUUACAUUGUAUCCUUUCCUGUGACAAUAGCCACGCGAAGAAUUUGACUCUUGGAGGGGGCUUUGUUCUUCCAUACAAAUUGUGUCCACGCGUCUGGGCUAGAAUUUGCAUUUUUCAACGCCCUGUCCAGCAGUGAUGUGCCUAGGUCCUGUUUGUCUUCAGCAUCGAGCUUUGGCGCUUAUCUCCGCCUGCUGUUAAUUGGUGUUGCCCCAUGAUGAUCACUACCUGUUGCAGUUGUUCUGCGGCUGCCACAGUCAUGCAACCAGCUAGAGAAAGUUGCAGCUGACCUUGGAAUGCACUAUGGACUGUGAUUUCCUGUUGUUGGCAGUGGCUGAAGUGCUCUGGGAAGAACCUGCCUGCGAGGCUGUCAUUACCAUUCCAAACAUCGUGCCAGGAAAUUGUUCUCCCGUCCCCUAAACUUAUAGUUGUGAGAUGGCUAUGUGAAUUGGCAGUAAUAAUCUCAAGGUCUGCCAAUGGCUGCCAUGGAGGUCUCCACUCUCCAGUGAGUGAAGCAACACAGGCAUUCUGCUGAACCCACCUUUCCCAAGACAAAUCAUUGACGGAAUGUAAUCUGUGAAUCAUUUUCAUUAAGAAUAUUCUUGUGAAAAUAUGAUCGUACUACAUACAAAUCAAGUGAGCAAUUACCAAACUCAGAAUACUUCAAUGAAAGUUGAACUAUAUGUGUUUCACUCUAAAAUGUUUUCAUUGUCCAAAAUACAUAAGUUCUUGAGAUUACACAAAUAUCCUAUGAGGACUUAUUAGUUUGCCCAUAGUACUACAUAUUAUGGUGUUCUAAGAAGUUAGAUACUUGGAUUGUGGUUAAUUUAACUAUGAAGUCUAAACACUUCUCGCCUAUUAAAUCAGACACAAACUUAAAUUUGUUUGCUGAAUUUUCUUUUUCUUAUUUUUUUUGUUCUUCAUUUGCGUAUUACUUUUCUAAGGUACAGCCUGUAGAUCACACAAUCACUUCCUUCACCAUAUCUUAGGAUUUCAACUAAUUCCCUAGCUACAAAAUGAUCUACCUCCCUAGUAGCUUAAGCUCUCUCAUCAUAUAUCUGAAACCUCACUAACAUCUCCAAAAGGGCCACUCACACAAACAUCCAGUUUAGAAACGUUAUAAGUAACACUAAGUCUACUGAACUUUACACUUUUCAAGUUACUCACCUGAUUUUGAGAUUCUACUAACAGAUGCCCCUAAGGAGACUCCAGAAUUAUUAAUAUAAUGCUGACCUUUAUCAUCCGAAAAGAAGGUAAUAAAAAGAAAUUUGCAGAAAAGUUAUCUUUUUCAAUAUAGUUUCUAAGUUUUUGCGUGCCUUGAGCUUUGACGCUUUUUAUGUAGAGUUGUCUGUUGUUGCCUUGCAACGUUUGCUCUUGCGACUUGGUGUUGCUUUUGCUACACUGUUAGUGUUAGUCGAAUAAUUGGGAUAGCUCCCUGACUUCUCAGUUGCUUGCUAGUUGCCUCCACGGAUGGUACGGGGCUUUUCUCAGUGAAGUGAGCAUAAAAGAUUGGUGUGGCAACUGGCAAUACAUAAUCACCAAAAUAGCAAGGAUGCAAUUUGCAGUGUUCAUGUUCCUGACGCGCAAAUGCAAUAAUGUUGAACAGUAAUCUGCUUCCGUCGACAGACACAAUCAUCCCAUCAAGUCUCACAAUCCGAUGAGAUCAUGUAUACUGCUGCAGUGCCUAAUCCUUGAAGGCUUGUAGAUGCAUGUACUCUACUGCUAAACUCUUUUAAUUCACUGCCACUGAUGAACGACAACACUGACCAUAACAAAGGAGCAGUGCUGAAAAUAAAUGUAUAGAAACGAAACACAAAUAAAUUGCUGCAAUAUUCAAAUUUUGGAUACAUUUAGCCCUGGUCUAAGGACUAAUAACUCGACAGAGGACUCCUGACACUUUUCACCCUAACCUUGACGAUACUCUUACCAUCUGACACAACAAUUGAAAUCAAACAAACCAAAUCAUAAGAUAAAUUUUAUUUCAUGCAUGCCCCUGAACAGGUAGCCCUUUAGGGCUUGGGCUUGAUGAAGCUCUCGAGGCCGUGCUCCCAGAGCAGACGGUCGACGUCCUCUUCAGUGGCCUGGCGUCCACUGUCAUCGUCCAAGAUGGCGUCCGCCACCUCAAGAAGAUAGCUUCCAUCCCGGGGAAAACCGUCGUCAUCGUCAACACCCACACCAGCAGCAGGGGCAAGAGGAUCCCCCACCGCUGCCUGAAGCGUAUGUGGCACCGGCACCAGCACCGGCACAUCAGCUGGUGGCGCCAUCGCAAAUGGUGGCACCAUGAGUGGCUCCUGCGACGGCGCCAUCAGGGGCUCCUGCGGUGGCACCAGCAGCACAUCGGGAUCCAGCGGCGGCGACGGCAGCACAAACAGCGGCGAGUUCGCCACCAUCGGCGGCGCCAUAGCAAGUGGCGCCACCAUCAGUGGCUCCUCCUGCGAUGGUACAGGCAUCGCCGCCACAGCUUCUUCCGGUGCAAGCGGUGGCAGAACGACUGCCGCUGCGGCCGAGGUGAGCGAGUUAACGCGCUCGUUGACGGAGCUCCUGAGCAAGGCGACGUUGGACCUGACGGCGGCGGCGAGCUCAGGGGCCAGGUCGUCGAGGUUGCUGCGGCGGCCGAGGCUGACGUCGUUGAGGAUGAGGUUUACCUCGAGCUGGCCGGCGGUGGCCUUGUAGGUCUCAAACCUUUUCCGCAUCUUCUUCAAGGCAUUACGCAGAAAGCCCUCGUUGUUCAGCCUUUGCGUCUCCUUGGAGGCCUCAGGCAGCUCUAGAUAGCUCCGCAUGAUGCCCUUGGCCUCGUCAAGAUUCUCCGGCCAGAACGCCGGCUCGGCGUUAUCGGGGCCGUACACCACCAUGGCCACUGGGAUUUGGCACAGGACGGAGAGCUUCUUGGCCUUCUCCAGCAGCGUGGCGCAGCGCUUCCGGAACGUCGCGUUCCGCGCAGCUUUCUGGACGAUCCAUUGGAUCUUGACCUUCCCGUGAUUACGAGGCAUGGCGCUAGCUAGCUAGGUGGGUGAGGAUUGGAAGACGACGGGAUGCAAGAAUGGAAAUUUGUUCGCUGCUGAUUGCUGAUGCUGGUAAUGGUGGUUGGUGAGACUGACGGGAGCUGAGAGGGGGCUCCUUUUGUAGCCGAUCUGGCAGAGAGAAAAAUGGAAAGGAGUUAUUGCCUCCAAAAAAUGGUGUAGGAAGCUAUGGUACAGUCUAUCAGAUACUUACUGGAUAAUUAAUUAUGUGAAUCAAAAAAGAUUUUGUUUUCUAUGGCUGGAUAUAGCUAGAUACCUUUAUUUAUUAUAUUACAUCUUGUAUACAGACAACACAUGGUUAAAAAAAAUACUCUCUUUGUCCAAAUUAUAUGUCGCUUAGAUUUUUUGAUUCAUCCAUUUUACUAUGUAUCUAGACGUAUUAUAUCUAGAUGCAUAGUAAAAUGGAUAUAUCAAAAAACAAAAUUGCUAGCUUAUUAUAUUUAAAACGAGGAGAGUAUUGUUCAAUUCUAUGCAUGAAGGUGCAAAAAGAUAAAAUAUGAAGAAAAAAGUGCCAAUAGAGCCGAAUUGAACAAUACUCUCACUGUAGACAUCGUAUAUACUGACAUAGCCACUACAACCUGCCUAGCAGUGUCAUCUACCCGUUCACGGCAGGGAAAAAGCAACCCUGCUAGUUUAGUGCCGACUCGGAUUGAAUGUUUGUUUAGAGAAUCAAACCAUUUUUUUUUCGAAAACGUGCGCUGCACGUGCCUCAUUAAGUGAAUCAAACCAUUUUAGAUGAGGUGAUACGUUAUGCUCGAAUGAUUUUAUUUAUUUUUAUACUAGAGGUGGAGAUGUAUCAACUCAUUCUAUUUAAGAAACCAAACAAAAUUUUAAGGAAUGAUGUGAUGGACUACCUGUUUCCAUAAAACAAACACCCGUAAACAAUUGGCAAGGCUACAAACCAUCAGUGUAAAUCAUCACCUCGGUUUAUGGAUUCACAAAUUUUUGUUGUUGAUUUGAGCCAUAAAGCAUGGUGAUAUAUGCAGGAUCUUCUGAUAGCCAAUUGUAUUAAGGCUAGUGUCUAGCUAAUAAACCUCCCUCUUUACUCGCCAAAAAAUGUAGGGGUGAUAUGAACAUCGUCCAUGCCAGUUUUAUGGUAGUGAACAUGCACCCCUCCACUGCGCCAAUUUACAUCGAUUAGCACCCUUGUCCUUUUGUUUGGUGCUUUUUCCCAUAUCAGAUAACAACGACGCUACUUGCUGAACUAAAUCUAAUGUGACUGGUUAAAUUGAACUUUAAAUUGCUAAAUCCUCCCUCCAUUCCACAAAAAAAUCUAGAUUGAAACAAAAUCAAAUAUUCUUAAAUUUAACCAAUUUCAUAAAAAAUAUAUCAACAAUUAUAUGUCUCAAAACACGUUUACUACGAAAUUUAUAUUCCAUGAUUCAUAUUAUACAUAUUAGUACUUUUUUGUAUGGAUUUGGUUAAACUUAAAAAAAUUACUUUCAAAAAGUGAGAACUAUUGCUUUUUUGGAACAGAAAGUAUAUAUGAUCCAUUAUUAUUUAAAAUUUUAUUGCAUAUUAUAUGGUUUCAAAAUAGUUUGCACAAGAAUUAUAGCUUGAUAAAAAACAAGCAUGAUAAUGGACAAGGAAUCUACUUGUGUUGGAUAUAUAGUUUACACGCUCUAGAAAAAAUAAUAUAUGUAAUAAUGUACAGGUAACAUAUAAUCGUGGUUGAUUGAAACCUGGAUGUUGAAUGAUUUGGAGGCAGUAAAAGUGUGUUCUUAAAUUUCAUGAUUUCUUAAUUACAAAGUAAUGUUUCCUUAAAGUUCAUGCUGAUUAUUACACUGUGUAUUGACACAUUGAGGCCUCUCAAAUCUCUAUCUCUACGGUGCCUAUCUCUAUUUCUAUCUCUAUCCCUAUCUCUAUCUCUAUCUCUAUCUAUGUACAACUAAAAAGAGCUAAUGGGUUUUGUCCACCUUCUUUCCAACCCAAACUAUGUCCACCUUCUUUCCAACCCAAACUAAGUUGUUGGUUCCCCUAGCUAGUUUGCUUGAUAAUAAUUUGAUUCAAUAAGUUUUAUAUAUUUUUUAUUAUUUAAUUAAUAUUCAUGGAUGACACUAACCUAUAUGGACUAAUUUUGAACUGGUCAAGGAUAUAUCAAGGCGCUGUCUCUAGGAUGAUCUAGCUAGUGUAAAGACAUGGGAUUGCAUGCAUAGCUUCUCUUUAUUAAUUGUGAAUCUAUUAUGGGCUUGAUUUAUAUCUAUAUAUAAUGUACAUGAUGCUCAGGUUUUAGAAACCUUCGCAAUAGAUGUUAUUCAAUGUUGGCUGCAAUUAUAAUAUAUAUUUUGUUGAGUUACAUGUGUCAAUUUUUGUGAUUUUACUAUUUUUCCAACCGAGGUAAACCCAAUUUUCAUAAACAAUUGAAAUCAAUUACAGGGAUAAGCCUAGCAGAAAAAGCUUGAAAGCGGCAGACUACGGAUCAAAAGAUCACCUGCCUUAGGUGACUGACCUGCCUAUAUUACACACAUCCUAUACCAAGACAUCCCCAUAAACGAUGGAGACUAGUAAAGUUAUCCUCACUAAAAUAUCAUUUGCAACAGUUUAGAACAAAAACAACAACCAAGAACCCAUUACGUAGAUUACAUUUUCUAGAUGUGCCUUCUCUUCAGUUGUUGGCUCCUCAUCAAUGGAUUUGGUCUUCAAGUGGGGGAACUUUAGCAAUGCAAUCAUCAUUUGUUGGGUAAUGCAUAGUAGCACAUUAGCUUUGUUGAACACCUUCUCCUAAAGACCUGACUUGAAGACACCUGCCCAAAUGUUAAGAAACAAGCAUGCUCUUGUAACCACUUCACAUGGAUGCUUAAUGAUCAUUACACAAGCUCUAGCAACUUCCAAAAUUGCUCAAGUAGUAUGAGUAAAACAUGUAGCCAUUUAUCACCUAGAAGUCACUUGUGUAGCCAAUGAUAGCACUAAUGAAGAGUUGGGGAUGUUAUUAGAACUAACUAAAGCAAGCAAUCACCCCUCAAAUUACUCUAGCAACUUUUCACUCAAAAAUAAAUGAUUAUGGUUUCAUUAGAAGAACAAAAGUAAUAGGUAGGACUAUUGUCGACACCUAUAGUGGCAUGGAGAAAAUCCUCGGGCACACGGAUAUCAAAGUAGCUUUUUAAAUGAGUAUUAAGAGUUAUUGUAUCUACAGGAAAACGUAUGAGAUAACUACAAACUAACUUAACCAGAGAUAGCAACAUGGUUAAGGAUAAACAACAAUGUAGAGAGAACUUUAAGGUUUUAACUUCUAAUUUAAGAUAUAUUGUAUUCUAGUAUUCACUUGGAAACAUUACUAAGGAAGAAUUGUACUUCUUUUAUCAAAACUUAGGUCUUGCUAAGCCUAUAGAUAGGAUAUGAAAUACAAAGGAUCAACGAGGCUGUCACACCCUAAUGAUCUAUCACGUCUAGAAUGCAGGGUGCAUCCACGAAUAACCAGCAGUCUAAGCACCACGCUUACACUAAUGAUUAUUACUUUAACCUAGGAGCUCAAUGAGGAUUAAAGCACUCAAAUAAAUCAUGAACCUGGUAAACAACAUAACACAAUAUGUAAUAUGGAUUAAAAAUCAAUUACCACAGAUGUCUCAAAUGUGGACUUGAAUAAAGUAUGAAUCAGCCAAGAUACAAGUUGAAAAGAGAGCACCAACAAGCUAGUACUUCCUCCAAACUCUUAUGUCACUCUCUAUCUCACUCAAUGUAUUUAAGGUGGUAAGGCGAGGCGUGGCGAGUGACAACCGCCUUACACUUAGGCGACUAAGGCGUAAGGCGAGGCGACGCCUUACCAAUUUAAGAAAAAUUUAAAACAACAGCUUAGAGUAGUAGAUGAUGAAGAGAAAAGAAAAGGAAAAAGAAAAAGAGAGGAGGAGUAAGAAGUGGACUGGCCCAGCCCACCAAGCAGCGCAUGUGCCCCUCCCCCUCCUAGCGUGGCCUAUCCCAAUGGGAAUCCCCUCCAGCGCUGCUGCUCGUUCUCCACCACUCAUCCGCCUCUGCUCGUCUCUCCGCCCCACUUCCCUCUGCAGCUCCGCUUCCGUUCGCGGCUCCUCCCCUCUCUUCGGAUGCGCUGCUCUGCUCCCCUCCCUCGCUGCUCCCCUUCCAAAUCUACAGCCACUGCCGUCCCUUUCCAGAUCGAGCAGCCGGUGGCGAGGAGAAGGCAGAAUCGAGUCCACGGCGGCGAGGAGACAGGGGAAUAGAGAGGAACCGCAUCAGAAUCGAUGAGGAGACAACGGAAUCGAGGGGGCAUCAGCAUGUGCAUAAGGCGACAAGGCGCGGCCUUACCCCUAAGGCGAGCCUCGAGCGCCCCGACGCCUAAGCGUCGCUUAAGCGACGCCUAAGCGACGCCUAAGCGACGCCUUAAGAACACUGAUCUCACUAUUUUCUAUGUACAAAUAAUAGAGUACUCUAGAGAACUAUUCUUUUCUUUAAUUGUGAUCCCUUCUCGAGGUGGUCUAGGGGUGCCUCGCAAUCCUGUGGCCAUAUGGAUCCAUGACACAAUUUAAUCUUGACCCUCCAUCAAAAUUGACUUGAAUUAAUGAUUUAGGUUUACCCCCAAGGUCGGUUGGAGUUGACUGAAGCUGAUGGGUGGAUCUAGGGAGGUCGACCGAUCGACAGGUGGGGUAGGUUUGACCCAUCUCUAGCCCUGUCCAUGUUGAUCUACAUUAUUAUGUCUUGGACUGUGGAUUAGAGCCCAAUGAAGUUGGUUCCUUUGCGGUUGGGCUUCAUUUGUUGUGAAAGUACUUAGUAUAUCCUAUGUUGAUGAUUGAUUUUAGAGAUAAAUACAAGUUAUAUUGACAGUUUAUAAUUAGCAUCCUCAACAACUACCCUGCUAAUGUCACUUUAACAAAAUACCCUUAGUGAUAAUGGAUGCAUUUUCUAAGAGGCAUAAGAAAAACUUUUUUUGGUGGAAUUUUGGGUUUCCAAAUAUGGACAAAGGACAAGCUCAAGUUAGCUUGACGUAGUUGCUUGUAUGUAGAUUUUUAUAAAUACUUUCCAUGAUUUACACCAUUUCCAUCAAAUGAAAUCCAUCUGAUCAUCGAUGUUGAGUCUAAGGACAUAGUCUACUAUACCCUUCCAUUAUUCCUUUAGGAUAUUAGGAAGCAACUUCUAGAAGUUUAGCUAGCAACAUCUAGCCUUGUAGCUAGCCACAUUUAUAAACUUUGCACUACAUAAUUCAAAAGGAUAGGGAACCGGCAACAAAGAGGGAUUUCCCACCCACCAAGUAUCUAACUAGAAUAUCAUUUUCGACUAUUAGUCUUCACUUUCUACCCAUACAAAAAAUGUGUGUCUUCCUUUAUAAGUCAGACCGAAUCCAAUAAUCAUCUUUUUGGGCUUUACAUGACUACUACAGUGGCAUCUAGCCUCUUAUAUACUUAAUUUGUCUUAAAUAAUUCAAUCCAGAUUCCUUUCUCUUAUUCUAGCUUCCACCACCAUUUACAAAGGAGUUUUAUGUUCAUUUUCCUAAUAUCUUAAAUGGUCAAGACUCCCCCUUUUACUUUUACAAUUCUUUGUCUAUUUGACCAUGUCUAAUUUUUUUUUCUUAGUACUCCCUCCUUGCCAAAAACGAGUGUCUCUAUUUGUCUAAUUUAUCAAUAAUACUCAAUAAUAGUCUAAGCUAGUGUAAUACCCGAUUUUAAGGACAAAACCAGAUAUGCACCAUAUAUGAGUUUUAGAAGUCAAAUCUCACAUAUAGCUACAAGUAAGGGGUAAUAUCAAAAGACAAUGCAUAAAAUAUAUAAUGUACAUAAUAUAAAAGAGAUAACCUUUGAUAGCAAACAGCGGAUAGACAACUCCAAACUUCGGGUAUUAACUUCACUCUACAGGAUCCAACUGACUGGUUGAUCACAAGCCUAAAGCAACUCCUGAAGUGUGGGGGAAAUUGCAAGAGUGAGCACAUAUCGUACUCAACAAGUAUAACCAGGGGUUCAUGAGGCUCAAAUAGCUGACACUGAUUUGACUGCAUUUAGCUUUUAAUAGUUGAUAGCAUGUUUAAUCAUUGGAUAGCAAAUGUAAGGUAGCAUAAUAAAUCCCAUAACCACAUGAUCAAUGUAUACAAGAAUUAAGAAUAACACAUAUAAACAACAUAAUAAACCAUCAGUUAUCAUCAUAGUAUACCAGAUUUAACACUCUGCAGAGGUUGUACAUCUUUACCCAUGAGUCAUGAUUUACCCUUUCGCUCGAGGUAGCUAGUCUCUUAACCCCCUUCCUUGGGAGGUCGGCAGGGAUCACUAUGAAGUCUUUCAAAGGUUCGUCUAACAAGUUAGGACCGCUUGGUUUCAUUAGUCAGUCCGUGUGAUUCACCCGCAGGAAUCCACGGUCUGCUAUUCCCCAAUCGUGCCACAACAGGUAACCGUUAACGAGCUAGAAAAGUUACUCAUACUUGACUAAAGCCAGAGCCAUAUAGCCCUCAUGGUUGUACGAGUUGUCCCAGCUGUAACACCCAAAAAUGUGAAUUUCAAUUAAUAGGAAUUAAUUUGAUUUAUUUAAGAGUUUGUGUGAGCAAUUGAAUCUAGCAAAAUAAAUAGUUUUGUGCAAAUUGAAAUUUAUCAUAAGUUUAGAAACGUGAGUUUUGCAUUCAUGCUGGAGCAUAAUUAUUUGGUAUUGUAUGUUCUGUUUUAUUGUGAUUAUUUUGCUUCAAAGUUUCUUUGGAGAAAGGAAUUAAAAAAAAAAAAGAGAAAAAAACUCCCCGCGGACCAGGCCCCCGGCCUGCCCUUUUUUUUUCCCCCCCUCUCAUGGCCGGGCGCGGCCCACCUCCUCCUCCCCGCGGCCCAGCAAGCCGCGGCCCAGCCAGGGCAGUAGGCGCGCCCCCUUUUCUUUUCCUCUCUGGCCGACAGCUGGGCCCUGCCCCUUCUCUCACUGCGACGUGGGACCCACGCGCCAGUGCUCUUCCUUCUUCCUGCGCGCCGUGGCCGAGCCGGACUCGGUGGUUCUCCCGGCAUGGAAGGCAACAAACCCCGAUUCUUCCGGGAUUUCGUGGUUGGAGCGCCCCUAUAAAGUCCCAAAUUCGCCCCGCGAUCACGUUUCUUCAACUGAGCGUUUUUUUUCAAGCCCUAGCCGCCUCGAGUAUUGCGUUUCGGAUCUCGCCGAGCGAAGUUUCAUCCGCCGCCGUGGCACACCCUCCUCGCCCUCUCUCGGCUCGAGCAAACCGCCUAGGUGGGUUCGCCUCCUCCCCCUCGACCUCCCGGAGUCGUUCUUUCGCGUUUUGGCGCUCGGGAGCGGGAGAACCGAGAGCUCCGAUGAGCCUGGCCAUGGCGCCGCCGCGCCGUUCCUGUGCUCAGGCGGCCGGCCGCCGCUGUUUUCCCCCUGGCGAUCGUCAGCCGUCCGAUGGAGAAUCCAAGGCCAGGAUUAGAAGAUACCGGUUCGGCGUAUAUUUUGCUAAAGAGUCCCUGGGACUUUCCAGGAAUCCACCCGCAGCCCUUAGCGCCUUUGAUGGAUUACGCUUUCUGAGUUUGAAAACGUAUUCAGGAUCGGUUCAGCUCAGAUUAUGUUUCUAAUAUUUACAGUUUUGCCACUGAAUUUAUAAUGCUUAUAAAAUGAUCAUUUUAACUCCGUUUUUAUCCAUUCAAAUUGUGUUAGGUUCGUAAUUAUAUGCUCUACAUGUUAGAAACAUUAGUUUACAGUUUUGAAACUUUUUAUUUCUGCAGUACUAUUUAAUUAAUUAUUUCUCUAUGGGAAAUCUUAGAAAAUUCAUAUCUUUCACGUUUUAAUUCCGAUUUUCGUGAACUUUCCGUCUGUGUGAUCGUAUCGCUGCGUAGAAUAUUUUGAUGAACUUUUAUAUUUGUUUUACCACUGGUUGGUGUAAUGUUCUAAUUAUACCUUGUUGCUUCGUGUAUGAUUGUCUACUUUGGAUUGCGUGUUGUUGAUUGAUGAUUGGGAUUAGACGGUGAGCCGUACGUUGGUGACCAAGACCAAGCUUUUGAGGACCAGCAGGCUCAGGAGAGCUUUGGUCAAGGCAAGUAUAACUUGGGACCAUCCUUGUUACCUAUUCACUUAUAACUACAUAUAUAUAUAUCAUAUGCAUACUAUCACCUUGUCGACCUUAGCAAAAUCAUAGAUGAUUGUUACCUGUAUUCCUUGCUACCUACUUGAUAUGCAUUUGGUAUAGAUGUGCUAGUGUUUGAUAUAAUCCAUGAUCUUGUAAGAUGAUUAAUAGCUAUGCAAUGAACAUAAAAGAAUGACACAUAUAACUGUAUGAGAUCUUGUCUGUAAGUGAUCACCGGGACAACAGUGCAACCAUGAGGGCUAUAAUGGCUCUGGCUUUAGCUCAGUAUGAAGCACUUUUCUAGCUUGUUAGAGGUUACUCGAAAGAGCGGAGGGGCUGAACCGUUUUGGGUAUAGUGUGGCCUCUGUCUGUAUGAGUAUAGGCUGCGAGUCAUUGUGCCAUCGGAAGGGGGGCUCUAUAUCUGCGCGCAAAGGAAACCUUGCGGCCCUAACUUGUUAGACGAACUUUUGAAAGGCUUCAUAGUGAUCCCUGCCGACCUCCCUAGGAAGGGGGUUAAGAGACUAGCUACCUCGGGCGAAAGGGUAAAUCAUGACUCAUGGGUAAAGAUGUACAACCUCUGCAGAGUGUAAAACUGGUAUACUAGCCGUGCUCACGGUUAUGAGCGGCCUUGGGGGUUCUUGCUGCGACGACGAUGAGCUUAUUAAGUUGUUAUGUUCAUUUGAUUUUCGUUUAUGCUAUGGGUUAAUUAUGCUUACACAUGAUCAUGGGAUUAAUGGAUUAUUUAUGCUUCCUUGACAAUUGCUCAUUAAUUAUGAACAUGCUAUCCACUAUUAAAAGCUAAUUGCAGUCAAACCAGUGUCAGCUAUUUGAGCCUCAUGAACCCCUGGUUAUACUUGUUGAGUACGAUAUGUGCUCACUCUUGCAAUUUCCCAACACCUCAGGAUAUGAUAUUGAAGAUGACUGGAAUGAGGAUUACCGUAAUGAGUACUAGGUUUGGAGUCAACCAGUCAACAGUGUCCCUGUGUGGAGCUUCCGUCGAGAGCGUUGUUUACUUUUUGCUAUCAUUUAUGUAUAAGACAAUGUGAUUUCUUAUGUUUCGCUAUGUAAUAAACACUGCAAUGGUACAUUUGAGAUUUGUCUACUUAUGUGUGCGACUGUUUCUGGGGCACAUAUGAGUCUUUUAUGCAUCCUAUUUUGUUCUUAAAAUAUGGGUGUGACAAAUUGGUAUCAAAGCUUUGUUGACUGUAGGACGCAAACCUAGUUAGCAAAAGGUCAAAAACUUAGGUCCUUAUUUUACUUACUUCAUGCUUCCCACUAUGGUCUUGUUAUUUGCUAAAAAUUUAUGCUUCUCUAUCUUGCUCUAUUGUGAAAUUAUUGCAUCCAUCUGAUCUAUGUCUAAAAACUUUUUGUAGAUGCCGCCUCGUACCCGCAGUGCUGCACGCAUGGCUGCUGAGGAGUACCGUGCCAUGUUCAACCUAGGAGGACAACGUGUGGAUGGAGUUCCUGAGCUGGAAGAUGAGGAAUCAAGGGUGGAAGCUCAGGAGGAAGUGCCUGAAGAUGAGGAGAUGCAAGAUCCACCUCCGUCACAGCCUGCUAAUGCAAGGAUGGGGUGGACUACUGAGCUGUGGAUUCCAGAGGCAGAUCCCAAGGAUUUCUUCCAUGAGAAUUUGGUGCUGACAUUGAAACACCAUUACCCGGAUUUGCAAGCCACACUGGAGUAUAACUGCACUGAGCACAAACACCCGCUGAGGAGAUCACUUUGGGUUGCAGAGCUGAUAGUCAAGACACUGGAUGCCACCAAGGGGAUUCGAAAGGUGGAAUCAAAACACCUCGCUCGAAUCAGCCGGGACACGAUGAGAGAGAGCAUGGCAGAUGCAGCUUACCAGGCAUUGAUCUUUUACCGUGGUAGACGCUUUGAGGAUGUUCAGUACAAUGCAACAUACCACUAUCCUCGCUUUGUACCAGAGAAGAUGACUUGGGCCAUAGAAGUUGCAGAUGCUUCACAACCAAAGCUUCAAGCACAAGUGGAGUUGACUUAUGAGCUGACACUCAAGGUGAUAGAGUUGGAGAAUGAACUACACCGUGAGAGGAAGCUGCUGGAGAAAGAGCAAAGGGAAGCGGAUGACCUUCGAGCGGAGUUAGGCCGCCCCAAACUUCAUAAGAGGCUGCAUGUUGAACCCAUCUUGAAGGAUGCUGCACCCGAAGAAUAGAAAAGAACCCAUAUGUAAUAGUAACGUUAGUAGUUGCGAGUUAUUUAGAGUCUUUUGCUAGUGUGGUGUGAACUUGGUGUGCUUGCUGAUUUGUUAUUAUGAAUAUGUGUGAUUUGGAUUUUUGUAAUGAGUGCUGGGAAUUUGUGGGCAUGUCCACAAGUUCUCUAAUUAAGAACCUUAAGUAAGAACAUGAAUAAAUAGUAGUUUGGGGUCAUAUCCUGUUUCUGUCUUUUGCUGUUGUCUGGACCAGUCUGCAAUGAUUCUGGAAUAAAUCAAAUUCUGCUCGUGCAAUGUUCAUCAAAUUUUUCUGGGAAAAAGUAGACUUUCAUAUAUUUCCAAUGCCGCAAGAAUGACCAUAUUAUCUAUUAUGAGCUGUGAGUUAUGACUGUUUAAAGUUGAGGUUUCUGCGCAGUCUGGAAUUCUGGAACAGUUUCGGUUGUACCCAGUUUUUGGUUAAUCUCACGUUGGAAUCUGGUAAUAUGAUCUAAAUGAAAGUCGUAGACAAUUUCUUUAUCUUUCCAACGGUGUACAGCAUGUAUCCUUUUGAAUUCUGAAACUCGAGAUAUUACUGAUUUUCUGAUCUGCUGAUGUUGGAUGUUACCCAGAAAAUUUCAGAUUCGGUUAACUCUUGUAAUUGUCAUGUUGGGCAUUACUAAGAUGUGUUUAUAUACCUUGUAAUGCAGAUGGCAGCAAGGGGAAGAGGCAGAGGCAGAGGCCGUGGCAAUGGCAAUGACAAUGGCAAUGGUGGCAAUGCCCCAAUCACCGUGGAGGAACUCAUGCAAACCCAAAAUCAGAUGAUGCACGUUUUCAUGCAGCACCUGCAGCAACAACCUCCACCAACACCACCACCUGUUCAUGUGAGGGACAAGCGUGGAGAGUUUAUGAAGGGAAGGCCCCCGGUAUUUACACACUCAGCUGAUCCCAUGGAGGCAGAUGAUUGGUUACGUGCUGUGGAGAGGCAACUGAACAUAGCACAGUGCAAUGAUUUGGAGAAGGUGUUGUAUGCUUCUGGACAGCUUCAGGGGGCAGCUCAAACAUGGUGGGAGUCAUAUCAAGCUGCUCGUCCCAACAAUGCUCCUCCUGUCACAUGGCUGGAAUUCUGUAGGGACUUCAGAGCUCGGCAUAUAAAUGAAGGAGUGAUGGAGCUCAAACAAGAAGAAUUCAGAUCACUCAGGAUGGGCUCCAUGACUGUGGCAGAAUAUCAUGACACCUUCGAACAGUUGGCUCGCUAUGCUCCGAAUGAUGUCAGGGAAGAUGCUGAUAAGCAGCGUCUAUUCAUGAAGGGCUUGUACUAUGAACUCAGGUUGCAGUUGGCAGGAAACACUUACCCUACCUUUCAAGCUCUUGUGAAUCAUGCCAUCGUGCUUGAUAAUAUGCGGAAGGGUCAGGAUAAGAAGAGAAGGAUGCUGGCACAAGGAUCUGGGAGCAACAACCGUCAGCGAUUCAGUUCUCAUCAAGGCCAUCAGCAGAGGUUCCAGGGACCAGUUAGUCAGUGGAACCGUAACCAGCAACCCCCGCGUUUCCAGAAUCAGUCGCAGAGUGGGAACCAACGUCCUCCAUUCCAGCAACGUAACCCCCGACAGCAGCAGUUUAGUCAGCAAACACCUCGCACCGGGAAUUCGGGUGCUACCCCCAUGAAAAGAAGUGCUUCCAACACCCCUACGAGGUGUUUCCAGUGCGGAAAGGAAGGGCAUAUGUCAUACGAUUGUCCUGAGAAGUUUAACAAGCAGAACAACCAGAAGUCUACUGCUUAUGCAGUAACAGUGAACAAUGUGGCUACGGAGACAGUUCAGGAGGGACCAGAGAUUAUGAUGGGUACGUUCAGCAUCAACUCUAUCCCUGCUACCGUUCUAUUUGAUUCUGGAGCUUCGCAUACUUUUAUAUCACAAGCAUUUGUUAGAGUUCAUAGCCUUCCACUAGUUGCAAUGAAAACACCUAUGCUAGUUAAUUCACCGGGUGGGACUAUACCAGUUUCUUUACGUUGCCCCUCAGCAAGUCUUUCUUUAAGGGGGGUAGAUUUUCCUAUCAGUCCCAUGGUUAUGAGCACCUCAGGCAUAGAUGUGAUCUUGGGUUUGGAUUGGAUGAAGCAACAUGCGACAAAUAUUAAUUGCAAAGAGAGAGUAGUGGCUCUGACAACACCAAAGGGAGAAAGAAUCAGUGUUGAUGUAACAAUGCAAGCACCACUCACAGCUAAAGUGAACCAACUGACUGAUGAUGUUGAUCCUCCGAAUCUGGUAGUGGAUGAGUUUCCGGAUGUCUUUCCAGAUGAACUGCCAGGUAUGCCACCUGACCGAGACAUUGAAUUUAUUAUUGAAUUACUCCCUGGUACUGCACCCAUAGCUAAAAGACCAUAUAGAAUGGGGGUUAAAGAACUAGAAGAACUUAAGAAACAAAUUAAGGAAUUGCAAGAUAAAGGGUUCAUUCGUCCUAGUUCAUCACCAUGGGGUGCACCAGUUAUCUUUGUUGAUAAGAAGGAUGGUAGUCAGAGGAUGUGUGUUGAUUAUCGGUCACUUAAUGAGGUCACUAUCAAGAAUAAAUAUCCAUUGCCUAGGAUUGAUGACUUAUUUGAUCAGCUAAGAGGUGCUUGUGUGUUCUCUAAGAUUGAUCUGCGUUCUGGUUAUCAUCAAUUGAAGAUUCGGAAUUCAGAUAUACCAAAGACAGCUUUCACAACAAGGUAUGGGUUAUAUGAGUAUACAGUUAUGUCUUUUGGUUUGACCAAUGCACCAGCUUACUUUAUGUACAUGAUGAAUAAAGUAUUUAUGGAGUAUCUUGAUAAGUUUGUGGUGGUCUUUAUUGAUGAUAUUCUGGUAUUCUCUAAAACCAAGGAAGAACAUGCUGAACAUCUGAGAUUGGUCUUACAGAAACUUAGAGAACACAAGUUGUAUGCUAAGCGUAGUAAAUGCGAGUUUUGGUUGGAGGAAGUUUCUUUUCUUGGUCAUGUUGUCUCUAAUGGUGGUAUUGCAGUGGAUCCUAGUAAGGUGAAGGAUGUGUUGAAUUGGAAACCACCUACAGAUGUAAGUGAAAUUCGCAGUUUUCUUGGUUUAGCUGGUUACUAUCGUAGAUUCAUUGAAGGGUUCUCAAAACUUGCGAAGCCUAUGACUGCUCUAUUGGAGAAGAAUGCUAAGUUUGUGUGGUCUGAUAAGUGUCAAACUAGUUUUGAGGAGUUCAAGAAGAGAUUGACUACUGCACCUGUGUUGGUUUUGCCAGAUCUGAGUAAGAGUUUCUCUAUCUAUUGUGAUGCUUCUCGUCUGGGUUUGGGUUGUGUUCUUAUGCAAGAAGGUAGAGUUGUUGCUUAUGCAUCUAGGCAGUUGAGAAAACAUGAACUGAAUUAUCCUACUCAUGAUCUAGAGUUAGCAGCUGUGGUUCAUGCAUUGAAGAUUUGGAGACACUAUUUGAUUGGGCAUAAGAGUGACAUAUACACGGAUCAUAAGAGUUUGAAGUACAUCUUCACCCAGACAGAUCUGAAUUUGAGGCAACGGAGAUGGUUGGAACUGAUAAAGGAUUAUGAUUUGGAAGUGCAUUAUCAUCCUGGGAAGGCGAACGUUGUAGCUGAUGCACUUAGCAGAAAGAGAUAUGCUAAUGAGCUUCAGGCGACACCGGAAUCUGAGGAGUUGUGUGCUGAAUUUGCAUAUUUGAACUUGGGAAUGGUAGUAAAUGCUAUGGAAAUUGAGAUCACUCCGACCCUAGAGGAAGAGAUAUUGAAGGGACAGUUGGAAGAUGAGAAACUAAAGGAGAUAGCACAGAAUGUGGUACUAGGCAAAGCACCAGGAUUCAGAAUAGAUGACAAUGGUGUAUUGUGGUUUGGAAAAAGGAUAUGUGUUCCGGAAGUGAAGGCCAUACGUGAUAUGAUCCUGAGAGAGGCUCAUGAGUCAGCAUAUUCUAUUCACCCUGGGAGCACUAAGAUGUAUCUGGAUCUGAGACAGAAGUACUGGUGGUAUGGUUUAAAGAGAGAUGUAGCGGAGUAUGUUGCUUUGUGUGAUACUUGUCAGCGAGUGAAAGCUGAACAUCAGAGGCCAGCUGGGCUGUUGCAACCAAUGAAGAUUCCAGAAUGGAAGUGGGAAGAAGUGGGUAUGGAUUUUAUAGUGGGGUUACCACGUACACAAAGAGGGUAUGACUCAAUAUGGGUGGUAGUGGAUCGUUUAACCAAGGUUGCUCAUUUCAUACCUGUCAAAACUUCAUAUAGUGGAGACCGGCUGGCAGAGUUAUACAUGGAAAGAAUUGUUUGUUUGCAUGGAGUACCUAAGAAGAUUGUGUCAGAUAGGGGUACUCAAUUCACGUCUCACUUUUGGAAAGCAGUGCAUGACUCAUUGGGAACCAAGUUGAAUUUCAGUACAGCAUAUCAUCCACAGACAGAUGGACAGACUGAGAGGAUCAAUCAGAUAUUAGAGGAUAUGUUGAGAGCUUGUGCUUUGCAGUAUGGGACUAGUUGGGAUAAGAGUUUGCCAUAUGCAGAAUUCUCUUACAACAACAGCUAUCAACAGAGUCUUAAGAUGGCACCGUUCGAGGCACUGUAUGGUCGUAAGUGCAGGACACCUUUGUUUUGGAAUCAGACAGGGGAAACACAGGUGUUUGGUACGGAUGUGCUUAGACAUGCAGAACAACAAGUGCGGACUAUUCGGGAUAACUUGAGAAUUGCUCAAUCUCGUCAGAAAAGCUAUGCAGAUACGCGUAGGAGAGAGUUGGCUUUUGAAGUGGGUGAUUAUGUCUAUCUGAAAGUGUCACCUAUGCGGAGUGUGAAGAGGUUUAAUAUGAAGGGAAAGCUAGCUCCAAGGUAUGUUGGUCCGUUUAAGGUUUUGGAAAGACGUGGAGAGGUAGCAUAUCAGUUAGAAUUGCCCGAAAGCUUAUCUGGUGUGCAUGAUGUGUUCCAUGUGUCACAACUUAAGAAGUGUUUGCGUGUACCUGAGGAACAAAUACCAUUAGAAGAGCUUUCUGUUAAAGGUGAUCUCACUUAUGAGGAGUAUCCGGUCAGAAUUUUGGAGACAGCUGAGAGAGUCACCAGAAGUCGGGUCAUUAGAAUGUGCAAAGUGCAGUGGAAUCGGUAUUCGGAAGCAGAGGCAACUUGGGAAAGAGAGAAUGAUCUGAGGAAAUCAUACUCAUAUCUGUUCGAGUAAGCCCCGCUCUAUCUCGAGGACGAGAUUCUUUUAAGGGGGGUAGAGUUUGUAACACCCAAAAAUGUGAAUUUCAAUUAAUAGGAAUUAAUUUGAUUUAUUUAAGAGUUUGUGUGAGCAAUUGAAUCUAGCAAAAUAAAUAGUUUUGUGCAAAUUGAAAUUUAUCAUAAGUUUAGAAACGUGAGUUUUGCAUUCAUGCUGGAGCAUAAUUAUUUGGUAUUGUAUGUUCUGUUUUAUUGUGAUUAUUUUGCUUCAAAGUUUCUUUGGAGAAAGGAAUUAAAAAAAAAAAGAGAAGAAAACUCCCCGCGGACCAGGCCCCCGGCCUGCCCUUUUUUUUUUCCCCCUCUUAUGGCCGGGCGCGGCCCAGCUCCUCCUCCCCGCGGCCCAGCAAGCCGCGGCCCAGCCAGGGCAGUAGGCGCGCCCCCUUUUCUUUUCCUCUCUGGCCGACAGCUGGGCCCUGCCCCUUCUCUCACUGCGACGUGGGACCCACGCGCCAGUGCUCUUCCUUCUUCCUGCGCGCCGUGGCCGAGCCAGACUCGGUGGUUCUCCCGGCAUGGAAGGCAACAAACCCCGAUUCUUCCGGGAUUUCGUGGUUGGAGCGCCCCUAUAAAGUCCCAAAUUCGCCCCGCGAUCACGUUUCUUCAACUGAGCGUUUUUUUUCAAGCCCUAGCCGCCUCGAGUAUUGCGUUUCGGAUCUCGCCGAGCGAAGUUUCAUCCGCCGCCGUGGCACACCCUCCUCGCCCUCUCUCGGCUCGAGCAAACCGCCUAGGUGGGUUCGCCUCCUCCCCCUCGACCUCCCGGAGUCGUUCUUUCGCGUUUUGGCGCUCGGGAGCGGGAGAACCGAGAGCUCCGAUGAGCCUGGCCAUGGCGCCGCCGCGCCGUUCCUGUGCUCAGGCGGCCGGCCGCCGCUGUUUUCCCCCUGGCGAUCGUCAGCCGUCCGAUGGAGAAUCCAAGGCCAGGAUUAGAAGAUACCGGUUCGGCGUAUAUUUUGCUAAAGAGUCCCUGGGACUUUCCAGGAAUCCACCCGCAGCCCUUAGCGCCUUUGAUGGAUUACGCUUUCUGAGUUUGAAAACGUAUUCAGGAUCGGUUCAGCUCAGAUUAUGUUUCUAAUAUUUACAGUUUUGCCACUGAAUUUAUAAUGCUUAUAAAAUGAUCAUUUUAACUCCGUUUUUAUCCAUUCAAAUUGUGUUAGGUUCGUAAUUAUAUGCUCUACAUGUUAGAAACAUUAGUUUACAGUUUUGAAACUUUUUAUUUCUGCAGUACUAUUUAAUUAAUUAUUUCUCUAUGGGAAAUCUUAGAAAAUUCAUAUCUUUCACGUUUUAAUUCCGAUUUUCGUGAACUUUCCGUCUGUGUGAUCGUAUCGCUGCGUAGAAUAUUUUGAUGAACUUUUAUAUUUGUUUUACCACUGGUUGGUGUAAUGUUCUAAUUAUACCUUGUUGCUUCGUGUAUGAUUGUCUACUUUGGAUUGCGUGUUGUUGAUUGAUGAUUGGGAUUAGACGGUGAGCCGUACGUUGGUGACCAAGACCAAGCUUUUGAGGACCAGCAGGCUCAGGAGAGCUUUGGUCAAGGCAAGUAUAACUUGGGACCAUCCUUGUUACCUAUUCACUUAUAACUACAUAUAUAUAUAUCAUAUGCAUACUAUCACCUUGUCGACCUUAGCAAAAUCAUAGAUGAUUGUUACCUGUAUUCCUUGCUACCUACUUGAUAUGCAUUUGGUAUAGAUGUGCUAGUGUUUGAUAUAAUCCAUGAUCUUGUAAGAUGAUUAAUAGCUAUGCAAUGAACAUAAAAGAAUGACACAUAUAACUGUAUGAGAUCUUGUCUGUAAGUGAUCACCGGGACAACAGUGCAACCAUGAGGGCUAUAAUGGCUCUGGCUUUAGCUCAGUAUGAAGCACUUUUCUAGCUUGUUAGAGGUUACUCGAAAGAGCGGAGGGGCUGAACCGUUUUGGGUAUAGUGUGGCCUCUGUCUGUAUGAGUAUAGGCUGCGAGUCAUUGUGCCAUCGGAAGGGGGGCUCUAUAUCUGCGCGCAAAGGAAACCUUGCGGCCCUAACUUGUUAGACGAACUUUUGAAAGGCUUCAUAGUGAUCCCUGCCGACCUCCCUAGGAAGGGGGUUAAGAGACUAGCUACCUCGGGCGAAAGGGUAAAUCAUGACUCAUGGGUAAAGAUGUACAACCUCUGCAGAGUGUAAAACUGGUAUACUAGCCGUGCUCACGGUUAUGAGCGGCCUUGGGGGUUCUUGCUGCGACGACGAUGAGCUUAUUAAGUUGUUAUGUUCAUUUGAUUUUCGUUUAUGCUAUGGGUUAAUUAUGCUUACACAUGAUCAUGGGAUUAAUGGAUUAUUUAUGCUUCCUUGACAAUUGCUCAUUAAUUAUGAACAUGCUAUCCACUAUUAAAAGCUAAUUGCAGUCAAACCAGUGUCAGCUAUUUGAGCCUCAUGAACCCCUGGUUAUACUUGUUGAGUACGAUAUGUGCUCACUCUUGCAAUUUCCCAACACCUCAGGAUAUGAUAUUGAAGAUGACUGGAAUGAGGAUUACCGUAAUGAGUACUAGGUUUGGAGUCAACCAGUCAACAGUGUCCCUGUGUGGAGCUUCCGUCGAGAGCGUUGUUUACUUUUUGCUAUCAUUUAUGUAUAAGACAAUGUGAUUUCUUAUGUUUCGCUAUGUAAUAAACACUGCAAUGGUACAUUUGAGAUUUGUCUACUUAUGUGUGCGACUGUUUCUGGGGCACAUAUGAGUCUUUUAUGCAUCCUAUUUUGUUCUUAAAAUAUGGGUGUGACAAGCUUUUGCCAAGGGAUAAGUCCUUAUGGAGGGUCAAGAUCAAUCCAGCAAAAGUCAGAGUUCUUUCCACCCUUUAUGUUCAAAUUGCUAGAAAGUUUAUUUUAUUGUUUAUUGUAUAUCCAAACAUUCAUGUUACAAGAUCAUGGAUUAUAAUCAAGCACUAGCAAGAACUACCCAAAUGCAUAUCCAAAUAGGCAACAAGGAAUUCAGGAUAACAAUCAUCUAUGAUUUUGCUAAGGUCAUCAAGGUGGACACAUGCAUAUGAUAAAUAUUGUAUUAAUUGUGUAUAGGUAACAAGGAUGAUCUCAAGUUAUACUUGCCUCGAUCAAAGCUCUCCUGAGCCUGCUGCUGGUCGUCAAAAGCUUGAUCUUGAUCACCAACGUAUCGCUCCCCGUCUAUAUCCGAUCAUCAAUCAACAACACACAAUCCAAUAUAGACAAUCAUACACGAAGCAAACAAGCUAUAAUUAGAACAAUACACCAAACAGUGGUAAAACAAUAUAAAAGUGUAUCAAAAUAUUCUACGCAGCGCUACGAUCACAUAAACGUAAAGUUCACGAAAAUCAAAGUUAAAACGUAGAAGUUAUGAAUUUUCUAAGUUUUCCUAUAGAAGAAUAAUUAAUUAAUUAAUUAAGGUCACAAAAUUAAAAAGGUUUCAAACUGAAAGCUCAUUAAUACGAACCUAACGCAAUUUGAACGGAUCAAAACGGAGAAGAUAUGACCUAAACAAGCUAAUGUAUUUCUAUUGUAUUUUUGGAUUUAUUUUUAUAAAGGAAAACGGUCAGAAAACAUCUACAUGACCACAUGUGAUGUCAUCAAAGCUAGCUAAUAAGCAGGCAACGUACAAAUUAAGAUCAGUGGACGUGAGUAGAAAAAAAAACACAUCCAACACUUGGAUAAUAUAUAGCUAAAAAAAUACCAAACUUGUAUGGAGCAGGAAUAGGUGGACUAAAAAUUGAUUGAAUAACGAUCUGCUCUAGUCAUAGAUUGUAAGGAUGGAAACCCAGCGGUAGACUGUAUGAUCUGUAGAUAGCUAGUAACUCACAUAUCAAUGGUGGAGAGAUACUACAGAUUUGCACGUAAGCAUGCAUCAUGGAAUUGUGCUUGCUUGGUAAUGGCCUCCUGCUACACACAGAGCAAAGAGAUUGACGACGUGUGAUAGCUGGUUUGCUCGGCUUGCAAAAGGCAGUGGAACAGGUUGGUUGACAGGGCCUUGUAGUCUCUAGACAUAGCAAAUAGACAGAGUACGCCAUAAAACAAACAAUAGCUAGAAACGGAAGAUUGGAUUGUACAUACAUAGAAUCAUGGCUGACGAGAAGGUUGGUGUACAAGUGCUCACCAUGUUUCAGCUAGUACGACGGCAGCGACGUGCGGCCGGGCUCGACGUGGACACGAAAAUUCAGCUUCGUGUGGUCUUGUUCCUAACGUGUUGGAUGAGCAUCAAGGUGCGAUUGUGGCGUUAAAGAUAGUAUAGUAAUUUACUAUCUAGGGAUUUCCAAAUAAGGGACUCCCCUUACGGUAGUUUUGGUGUGGUUUGUCUAAAGGGGCUGGUACAUAUAUAUAGAGAGAAAAACUCUUCAUAUCCACAUCAACUAGCAAUAUGGUACUAAUUGAUGAUGUUGCAACCUCCAUCUUUACUAAUAGGCCUAAUUAAUUAUUAAAGCCCAUUAGUAAAUAAAAACAUGGGCCUUGAGCAUUGGAGAAAGAAUAAGAGAUUUAUUAUUUUCGAAAUUUUUUAAUUUCAUGGAUAAAAUAAUUCCAGAAAAGUCUAGAAUUAUUAUUUAAACUAUGAAAAAUAUUUCGAAAGCUCUGAAAAUUUGUAGAAAACUCUCAGAGACAUUAUGGAAUAUGAGGAACUCAAAUAAAGUAUUUGGAGCCUAUGAUAAGAUAAUUUAGAGCAUCUAAAAAUUGGAUUAUGCUCAACGGAAAAGGCCAGAAAAAUUCCCAAGAAGUUUAUAGAGAUUGUUUAACGGAUGAGGAACUUGAAGGAGUGAUUUGGGUUGUAGAGAAAAGAUUUUAGGAAGCUUAAAAAAAAACUUGAACUGAAAAUCAAGGAAAUUUUAUUGUAGAUAAAGAUAAAGACGUACCGAUCAAGGAAGACCGUUCUACUAAACACAAUUUAAAGAUUUUGCUCACUCUCAACACACAAAGGAGCAACAAACUGUAAUACCUGAUUUAAGGAUAAAACCAGAUAUGCACCAUAUGUGAGUCUUAGAAGUCAAAUCUCACAUAUAGUUACAAAUAAGGGGUAAUAUCAAAAGACAAUGCAUAAAUAUAUAACGUACUUAGUAUGAAAGAGAUAACCUUUGAUAGCAAACAGCGGAUAAAUAGCUCCAACUUCGGGUAUUAACUUCACUCUACAGGAUCCAACUGACUGGUUGAUCACAAGCCUAACACUCCUCCUAAAGUAUGGGGGAAAUAGCAAGAGUGAGUCCAUGUCGAACUCCACAAGUAUAGCAACUAGAUUGUAUAGCUCCCACAAUCUCAUGAUCAAUGUGACAUAAAUUAUGUAAAGCAUUAAACAAUAAACAAUGAGCAUAUUUAACACACAAGAUUCAUCACCCUUAAUGUAUAUGUCCCCAAGGCCGCUUCUGAUCGUGAGCUCGGCUAGUAUACUAGUUUUAACACUCUGCAGAGGUUGCACAUCUUUACCCAUGAGUCAUGAUUUACCCUUUCGCCCGAGGUGAUCAGCCUCUUAACCCACUUCCAAGGAAGGUCGGCAGGGAUCACUAUGAAGCCUUUCAAAAGUUCGUCUAACAUGUUAGGGCCGCAAGGUUUCCUUUGCGCGCAGAUAUAGAUACCUCCCUUCCAAAUGGCACAAUGACGCGCAGCCUAUACACAUAAGGAUAGAGGCUCGCACUAUACCCAAAACGGUUCAGCCCCUCCGCCCUUUUGGGUAACCUCUAACAAGCUAGAAAAGGUCUUCAUACUGAGCUAAAGCCAGAGCCAUUAUAGCCCUUAUGGUUGCACUGUUGUCCCGGGUGAUCACGUACAGACAAAUUAUCAAAUGGCUAAAAAGUUAUUUUUAUCAUUUAUUACUUAACAUUAAUCUAGUCACAGGAUCAUGAUCACAGAAUUAAAAUCCAAAUGUUAUACUUGCCUUGAUCCAAUUGCUCUUGCUGAUCUUGCUAUUUGUCCAAGUACUGAUCUUGUUUGUUGUAGCACGCUUGGUCACUCACGAUUGUUCACCGUCUAUUCCCGAUCAUCAAUCAUCAACACACAAAUAAUCGGGACCAAACAUACACGAAGCAAACAAUAGAAAUAAAUUAAAACAGUACACCGAUCAAUAAAAGAGUUUUGAAAACUAAUCUACAUAUCGUUGCGAGCGUACGGAUAUAAAAAGCAUGCUAAUCGGAGCUACAGUUCAAAAGAACGACUACCGAGACUUUUAUAUCAUUUAAAGAAAAAACCUAUAUAUGCUUGACGUAUUAUUUGAGCAAAACUUUGUGAAAAGUCAUUUAGAUCAUAUUAGGCAAAACAUAAUUUAAUUCAAAAGUUAGCCUAAAAUUACUCAUAUUUUAUUUAUAAACAAUGUCAUAUAAUUUAAUCAAGUUAAACUUUAUUUUUGCAAAAGAAAGAUUAUAGGUGAAAGCAACUAAUUGAGUUUAUCACAUAUGCAACGUGUUUAACUAAGCAACUUAAGAUUUAGAAACACAUUUUAUAAGCAAUUAAUCACAUUAAUAUUUUGGUCAUAAAUUACCGUCUUAUACAACCUUAUAGCUUUCAAUUAUAAAUCUGAUUAUAAAUAUUAAUCAAUUUAGCAAUUAAAUUAAUAAAAUAAUAAACACAUGACAUAAAAACAUUAGCAUUAGUGUAUAAAUUAUGAAUCUAAGAGACUUGAUUCGGUAGAGAAUUGAAGGUUCAGAGGUUCACGUAUGAAAGGAUGCAUGUAUUGAAAGUGCGUAGAUGGCUGGCGGCUAACUAACACCAAAAGAAGGGAUUUAAUACACAUAUGCUGGAGAUAAAAGAAAAUAAUAAAGAUUGAUUAAUCUAUGUGCUAAUUCACGAUUGCUAGAGCAGAUAAUAUAUAGAGCAUAAGAGAUAGAUGAUUAGAAGAGCUUAUUAUACACAGAAGGUGUACCAGGUGGACGUGUUGCUCUGUCCUGCUUGCCGUACACGUACGCUGGCAUGCACGAUUGGCCUUGGCCUUUGCUAGUUUACUUGGUCGUUGAAGAUAUGGAAGAAAGUCGCAUGCAGGUCAGCAUACGGUGCUGCUCCGGUCGCCGUUAAGAUGCAGAUCGGCAAGAACGAUAGCUGGACGAUGGUGAGCUACACAAAGUGCAUAUAUAUACUCAACGUGGAGCUAUAAUUAGCAAGGCGUCAGGAUAUAGAAAUUAUGAAGUUGCUCACCCAAGGUAUAUAUGUGAUAGGGAUGACGGCUGGACGUAGAGGAGACUGUCAUGUCUUAAUCUUUCCAUGACAAAAAAGAUAAUUUUAAUUUACUACACGAGAGACUUCCCAAACUAGGGACGUCUCUGACAGUAAUUGUGGGGUGUUUUGCCAAAGGGGUUGGUACAUAUAUAUAUAGGGAGAAAAACUCCCCACCUCCACGUCAACUAGCGAUAUAGUACUAAUUGAUUUGCAACCUUCAUCUUUAUUAAUAGGCCUAAUUAAUUAUUAGAGCCCAUUAGUAAAUAAAGGCAUUGACUCUUGAGAUCAUGGGCUUGAGCGUGAGAUAAAAUGAAAGAUUUUAUUAUUUUCGAAAUUAAUUAAUUUGGCGAAUAAAAUAAUCCUAGAAAAGUCCAGAAUUAUGAUUUAAGCCAUGAAAAAUACUUCGAAAGCUUUGAAAAUUCAGAAAAAAUUUCUCAGAGAUAUUAUAGAACAUGGGAAACCGAAUAAAGCUUUUGGAGCUCAUGAGAAGAUUGUUUGGAGCAUCUAAAAAUUAGAUCAUGCUCACAGAAAAGUGAGAACAGAAGCUGAAAAAUUCUCGAAAAAUUUGUAGAGAGUGCUUGAUGGACGAGGAACUAAAAAAAGUGCUUUGAGUGACAAAGAAAAGAUUUUAGGAAGCUCCUAAUAAAAAAUUAAGCUGCGAAACAAGGAAUUUGGUUAUAGAUAAAGAUAAAUACGUACUGGUCAAGGAAGAUCGAUCUACUAAACGCAUUUUAAAAACUUUGCUCACUCAACACAUAAAGGAGCAACAAGCCAACAUCACAUCAAAACAUAUGCACCAGUAUAUAUGCACAACAAUAUUGCUAAGGCUUAUGAUAAAUUUUAAUUUAAUGAAAAAUAUUAUUUUCCUUAUAUUUUCAUGAGCACAAAAUACAAAAGUGAAUAAAUUUUCAUCUAUUUUGAAAAGAGCAAAUUUUAGGGUGUUACACAAACAAACAUCACAUAAAACAUAUGUACCAGCAUGUAUGCACAACAACGUUGCUAAACCCUAUGAUGAAUUUUAAUUUAAGGAAUUUUUUCAUUUUACUAUAUUUUCAUGAGCACAGAAAUACAAAAUAAAUUAUUUUAGCGUUAUUUUGAAAGAAGCAAAAUUUAGGGUGUUACAGCUAGUAAAAACAUGUCAUUUUAUAUAGUAGAGAUUUUGUAAAACUAGGUUAUCAUCACAUUCCUCGCAAUGGAAAAAGAACUGCCUUUUGAUAAAUGUGAAAUUUCUUGGCUUUUUUUUCACAGAUAGGUAGCCAACCAAUAAUGUGAAGUUUGCUAGGACUCAUAUAGGCACCUCCAAGGUACUUAAUUGGAAAUUCCCACCAGAUUGGUAGUUAACAGGCUCAACAUUGAUCAAUAGUUAUCAUGAGCACCAAUGAUCAUAGAGAUAUAACAAAAAUUUAACAUUCUUUGACAUCCAUAAGUUCUAUUUAAUACAUAGAAUAGUAUUAGCUUCAUAAUACAAAGUAGCAACACACCCUUCUAUCAAAUUACUAGCAACACCCUCAAUUAAGUACGACUUGUAUUUCUCUACCACCAUCGUGGGAACGAAAACCUAGUUUAAUGCAUUUGUUACUUGUAGUUAAAGAUAAUUUUACAGUAUAUGUUGGCUCAGAUUAAAUAUUGUCCCUUCAAAUUCAUUUCAAAUGUCAACUAUAUUCUAAGAUUACUCCUAUUGAUUCUUCUGCCACUUUGAUCAUGUUGAUACUUGAUACAAAUUUUAACCCCACCUAUUUAGUCCAAAUAAUACCACAUAUAUGUUAGAUUAUCUUUAAUUAUAUUGUGUUGAGAUGAAAUUCUUCUAUGCACACUUGAAACAAGAGUGUAUGUUAAUACAACCUCUAGACAGUAUUAGAUGUGCACUAUUUUUCUUUCAUUACUCUUUUGUUGUUUGAUUAUAUAACUUUGGUUCUGUAUGAUUUCAGUUUCUAAAAUUGAAGCAAUUUGCAUCAUGUGUAAUACAGAUCAGCAAUUUGUUUCACGGAUUUAUUAAUAAAAAGUCUUGGGCGUGUUUAUUUCCAUGCACUAGAGACAUUUUUGUUUCCCAAUUUAUAUCAUGCGCCAAGCUUUAAUUGUGUUUUGUUGAAUGUGUAGAACCACAUGUAUAGCAUUAUCUGAAUUGCCCCUUAACCUUCAUAAGCAACUUUUCUUUUUCACUGCAUCCUUUUUAUUGUGUGAUUAAAAUCAGGGUUUAGCAAAGGAGCGAAAUGCAUAGGACACAAAAAACAUAGUUGCGAAGAUGCAAUGUUAUAUGACAUGUAGUGCAUGAUGAUUAACAGUCCUUGGAGUCAUGUGAUGUGUAUAGGCAUGGAUAUAGGAAUAACUUUUCAUUGUGUCAAUAGUAAUGUACCUACACAUUGGACUCAUACCACAUAAAGAGUAUAUAACAAUAUAAAUGGAGAUUGUUAACAUAUAUAAGGUUCUUAGUAAAAAUAACUCACCAGAACUGUACAGUUAGUCCAAAAGGUUUACUCAAAAAAAUAUAUUUUUUAUGAUUUUUCACAACUCUCUUUUCAGUUCCAACAUUUACAUGAAAUAGAAAAACUCUUUCUACUCCACAUGUGGUUUCAUUUAGUUGAUGCUUUCAUUCUAUUCUAUUCAACAGGUUUUCUACUAUACUCUGUUUAAUACGUUUUGCAAAACUAUAGCUAUUUGCGCCACAGAAGUGCAUUUUUGUGACUGUUUCAAAAACUACAAUUUCAACAAAAGAAAACUUUGUCGUCCUAUGUAUAGGCAUGGAAUAUUUCCUAUUUGUGUGAUAGGUAGUCCCUACAAUAUCUUUUUUAAUAUUAUGAUUCCUUGUCACUAGGGGACAAAAUGAAAAGUUCGCAAGUUUAAGUAAAUGAUGGACACACCCCAUGCCAUGUCUUGAACUCAAAUCCCAUGGAAGGCUUUUGCUAUAUCAACUUAAUCCUGUUCUCUUUCAAGAGUUAGUUUUUCUUUUCUUUUUUCUAUUAUUAUAUUAUAUAUGCUCACAUUCAUAGAUUAGUAUAGAAUUUACAUAAUCUUUCUCAACCUGAGUAAGAAGGUCUUCUUCUUAAUGCAAUAUAUGGGGGGUUGACUUACCACAUAUCUAGCAUGAUCUGUUAAAUGUCUCUUGGCCUUUAUAAAAUCAUUUUUUCUCUUUGUGUUUUACUGUGCAUCUUUUGAAAGGUUAUUGUGUUACCACGUAUUGUGGAUGAAUGAAGCUUUAUUUAAAACAAAAUCCCCAACUCUAUAUAUAACAAGACGGUAAACACAACAAUUAAACUAAAAUAGAAUAAAAAGAAUAAGAAAAUGAUCUAACAACAUAGAAUUUCAGGCACCAUGAGGUACUCAUGGUAAGCUACCAUCAAACAUAGAAUUUCAAACUCAAGGUAUAACUUGAAACCACCUAACUUACAUUCCAAUUAUAGAGAAAAAAUGUUGAUGUCAUUUCUUCUAUUCUCUUACACUAUGAAAAGAAAUGGUCAAAGUCCAUAAAAGUCAAUCAUUCUCCUAAAAAAGAAGGUGAUGAAUAGUGCAUCUAAGACAUCUCAUAUGCUUUGAUGUGCACAUGUCCUUUUUCCAAGGAUGCACCAAGAAGCCAAAAGCACUUGAAAACACCAAACGACUAUGGAGGCGCAUUGUUGCAUUGGUAUGUAGAAAGCCUAUAUAACUUUUUUAUUGUUGAGUAUUAAUGCAUGCAUUUAUAUUCAACUAUAAAACAUAAAAAAAUAUCAUUUGGAUAUGUUAAAUUAUCAUUCAUAACUUACUUUCUCAUGUUCAACAAAAGUAUUUUAUAGUGAAUUUUCUAAAUGUCCUAAUUUUCAGAGUUACAUCAAACACAAAAAAAAACAAUAGGCUCUACGGAACAAAAAACAUUUUCAUUGGAGAAAUUUUAUGCGCACAACCCUGUUUGUACCCAAUAGGUUGUACUAAAAAACACAAACCAAGUACUCACCCAAACCCUCACCCCUACAUCAUUUAAAGCAUAUUUGUUUAGAAAACAAUUGUAGUAAAAGAAAUUUUAUUAUAAAAAAAGACAAUAAAAAAUUACAUAUUCUAUAAAAACUUCAUUUGAAACACAUUUGACAGACUACACUUCAUCUUUUCUAAAUUACUGCUUACUUUGACUUUAUCCAAUAUAGUCCUCGGACAAACUUGUGUCUAAUCAUAUUGGUCAAGCUUUUUCAAAAAAAAUACUACUUAGGCCUUAUUUAGUUACACCCGAAAUCCAAAAAGUUUUCAAGAUUCUCCAUCACUUUGAAUCUUGCGGCACAUGCAUGGAGCAUUAAAUAUAGAUAAAAAAUAACAAAUUACAUAUUUUAUUUGUAAUUUGUGAGACGAAUCUUUUGAGCUCGAUGGUUAGACACUAAUUGUCGAAUACAAAUGAAUACCCAAAAGCUUUUCACCCAGGGAACUUAAAAAAAGGCUUUACUAUUCAAUCCAUCCCGAAAUUUGCGGUCCAUGCAUCACUAGAAAACAUACCACGCCUAAAUUAACUAGGCCACAUGAGAUUAUUGUAAACAAAUAAAGUGGCUCAGGAUGAAAUUACGCCAAUAUUAGACGCAGGCCCAUCCAAGCGCAUGGGCUAAUCUCUCGCUAACGUUGGCCUCUGGCCUUCCACCUCGUGGGCGUUGGGCACUUAGGGCCGCGCGCCCCUCACCUCUCCAUGUCUCGGUUGUUCAAGGCUGGCGAGCCGGCCCACGCCAUCGCUAUGUCCUCUCCCCUCUUCCUCCGUUCCAAAGCAUCAACUUGUGAGAUUAUUUUCACUUUUAUAAGGUUGUUAAAAUCAUAGAUUCUAAAUAGGAUAGGAGAGUUUUAGGUAGGAAAAUGUAAUAAUAAACUAAUAAUCAUAAAAAUCAUACAAACAUAGACUCUGCUGAUUAAGAUCAUAGAAUGUUAACGUCGUAAUAAAAAAAAUAUAAAAUUGUUUGGCAAAAUUGUAGAUUUAGGCCUUGUUUAGUUCCCAAAAAAUUUUGCAAAAUUUUUCAGAUUCCCCGUCACAUCGAAUCUAAUUGCACAGUUUGGUCGAAAUUGACGAGACGAAUCUUUUGAGCCUAGUUAGUCUAUGAUUUUACAAUAUUUGUCAAAUACAAACGAAGUGCUACAGUGUCAAUUUUCCAAAAAUUUUUGAAACUAAACAAGGCCUUAACUACUAUGCCUGAACUACUGUCAAUAACGAGUUUCACUCUCAUUUAUCUCUCUAGUGUAUCUCGCUUUACAUCAAACCACUCUUACGUUAAACAUCGACGAUAGCAGCCCACGAGGCCUUGUCGACGCAGCACAUGCAGGGCGGCCGUUGACCUUGCCCAAAUUUCAAGGAUGAGAGCACUCCAUGUCACAGGUGAAUUUACAAGAUCAAAGUCAACUGUGAGUCUGGAGACAGAUGAGCCAUGUCGCCGCCACCUCCGUUCCGCCAUUCCCAACGGCCAGGAUGCUUCCAUGCACAUGGCCUUGUCAACUAGCAUGUACUGAUGUACAGUAAUGGAGGAGAGUAUAUAUAUAUAUAUAUAUAUAUAUAUAUAUAUAUAUAUAUAUAUAUACUGCAGUGCUCGGACAGACUCCACGGCUUGCUUGCAUAGCUCCCUAGCUAGCAAUGGCGGCGCUCCCGUUGUUCCUCCGUCCCGUCCUGCUGGCCGCCGCCGCCUGCUUGUCGGUCUCGGUCUCGAUCAUCUCCAACGCCGGCGUGGCGGAGGCGGGCUUCGGCUUCGGCUACCAUGGCGGCGACGACGACUGGAGCAAGAGCCGCGUGGCGUCGAUCGUGACGGAGAAGCUAUACAGCGACAUGUUCAAGCACAAGGACGACACGGCCUGCCCAGCGCACGGCUUCUACAACUACACCUCCUUCCUCCGGGCCGCGGAACGUUUCCCGGCGUUCGGCGGCGACGGCGACGCCGCCACACGGAAGCGCGAGGUGGCGGCGUUCCUGGCGCAGAUCUCGCACGAGACCACCGGCGGGUGGGCGACGGCACCCGACGGUCCCUACGCGUGGGGGCUCUGCUUCAAGGAGGAGAUCAGCCCGGCGAGCAACUACUGCGACAACACCACCACGGAGUGGCCGUGCGUCGCCGGCGAGUCGUACCAUGGCCGGGGACCCAUCCAGCUGUCGUGGAACUUCAACUACGGGCCGGCGGGGCAGGCGCUGGGCUUCGACGGGCUGGGCAACCCGGAGGUGGUCGCCGGUGACCCCGAGGUGGCGUUCAAGACGGCGCUGUGGUUCUGGAUGACCCCGAGGUCGCCCAAGCCGUCGUGCCACGACGUCAUGGUCGGGCGGUACCGGCCGACCGACGCCGAUGUGGCGGCGAACAGGACGGCGGGGUUCGGGCUCACGACUAACAUUAUCAAUGGCGGCAUCGAGUGCGGCAAGACUGGCGUCCCGCAGGUGGACGACCGGAUCGGCUUCUUCCGGAGGUACUGCGAGCUGCUCGGCGGCGUCGAUGUCGGUCCCAACUUGGAUUGUACUCAGCAGCAGCCCUACUCUUCUUGAUUUAGUUGAUCGAUCGAUCACCUUCCUGCUGCUGCUGCUGCUGCCUAUCUUUCAUUUCGACUCGUGUGGUACUACUCGUUGAGUUUAUCUUUCCCAACGUACGUACAAUAAUUAUAUAUGUGAUGGGGUUGCUUACAAGUUAUUUAUGUACAAAUCAGGCGGAAUGCACAGUUGAAUCCUAACUAGUAGUUGCCACUGUGAAAAGUACGAUGAGCUAGCUAGGGCACGCCUGCUUAGGAGCAUGAGACAGAUCGAUCGAGUACAUGGACGUAGGCUGUUUGGAUGCCAGGCAUAGCUUGUGGUGCUGCCGAGUGUUUUUCUUUUGGCACUCGGCAAAGAAGCUCUUUGCGGAGUGCUCGAAAAAAAAUACUCGGCAAACCACUAGACACUCGGCAAAGAGCUGGAUUCUGGUAGUGUGAUCAAGUGUGCACAUUUUGAUCUUGCCAAUUCAAUCCAUUAAGAAGACAACGAACUACUAGAGUCUAGAGUAGACCGCGGAUCAAAUUAGCAACAAAUGACUUCCACUUUCAGGUUUGUUUUCUUUCUUUGAGAGCUUCUUCAGGUUUCACGGCAUGAAAUUUGUCAGUUUGGAUAAGCCGAGCCCCAAUGCCAGUUCAAUCCACAUGAGUGGGCCUGGAAUUUAUAUGGUUCGAAUUUCUGGCCCAUUCACACGUCUGUUUGGGCUAACGAUAAAAAUACAAAUAGUUGGAUCACGCGUAGGUCGCAGUCGCACAGGCUCACAGUAGCACAACAGCCCAUCAGGAGCUCACGUGAUGAGAAAUUGGUUUGGAAUUUAGGCACAACAGCCAUGAUAAUCCAGUGUCAGAACACCGAGAGAACAUAGAAGAAGACGGUAAAUUGGAGGCACUGCGACGCCCCGGCUCCGGCUCUCACCGGCGCUAUUAAACUCGAAUGCAUGGCCUUGGGUCGGUCGGUCGGUGGGUGGAUGAAUCGUGCAUGAGUUAGCAGAAUUUGUUUUGUAAGAAUAGUACGAUAUAAAGGGUCUGAUUGGGAUUGGUUGGCUACCAAAAUUUAUCAUGUCAGAGAUUUAUAGUAAGGCAAAAGUUGAGCCAAAAAAUUACUAAAAAUUUGGCAAGAUAAUUGUGAGACGUCGGCAAGUUUUGGUACCCAACCAAUAAUUAGCCAAAACUAUGACUUGCUAAAUUCUUGGCAUGACAAAUAAUUUUGGUAAUCAACCAAUCAGAGACAAGGUGAAGCAGAACAUACUAUUAUUGUUACGUCGCCGUCGCCACGAUAGAUCAUCAUUAUUGUUUGUUUAUCUGAAGAGUCAUGGUUAAAAGUCUUGUUUGCUGAUUUAUUAUAAGAGAAACGCACCGCUCAAUGGAUGACAGAUUCGAUAGAUAAGCUGACAAACAGUAGCAGUAAUUUGAGACAAGGAGGACAUAGUAGCAGCUUAAUAACUGUUUAUCACACACUGACACACAAAUCCGUUGGAACGGGGCAUAUGAACAUAUAGAGAUACAAUUAAGAAGAGUACAUCGAUGCUACAUACCACUAGCUACUAGGUAUUAGAAUCGGCAUAUAUUCAUCGAUCGGCAAGAGCAAGCAGGAACAUCAACAAACAGCAGCAGCAGCAACGACGACGACGACUACUUGGUGAUGGCGUAGACGGCGUAGAUGAUGCCGGGGAGGUAGCCGAGGAAGGUGAGGAGGAGGCAGAUCCAGAACUGGUGCCCGCACCCAAACUUGAGAAACACACCCAGCGGUGGCAGGAUGAUGGCGAUCAGGAUGUCCACGCAGUUCGCCGACAUGGCUUCUCUGCCGCCUUCUCGAUCUCCUGCCUCUUCUUCUUCUUCUCUGCCUUGGCUUGGAUUGGAUGGGGAUCAGAUUCCUCCUUUUCUAUGGCUUGGGGCUCACUUUAUAGACAGCAGGGUAUGGACGGUGGGAUCCAUGGAUGCCGCCGCGUCCGAUACGACGUCCAGCAAUGGCAUGCACACCGUGGGGCGGCUGGAGCUGGGGCCGGGGAAUUCAGAGCUAUUACUAGAGGUACGGUGAACCCCAACGCGGCCUUGGCUGCAUCUAAUUCUUCUUGGUCCACGGACACGCGGACGACUCAGCGCCCGCCCGGACGGCGCACCCAUCAGCCAGACUUCGCUCGCUCGGCCGGCGUCUGCUCGUGCGUGCUGCAGGCGCUGCCACACCGCUGCCGCCCAAGACGCGUGCAAUGCGACCUGGGGCAGGAGCUACCUGAUCGACGUCAGAUCAAAUACGGUCCGGUCAAAAGCCAGUUGGGGCGUCGGCGUCUUGACAGGCGGCCACAGGCCGACGUACACGUCGCGUCGCCGCCAUCGCCAUCGCCAUCCACAUUGCUGGGACUGGGAGUAGACGUCUGCAUCUGUGGCACGUGCACGCCGUCGCCUCUUCUGCACCCUGCAGUCUUCUCCCUCAUCCGUCGUCGGUCAAUAUAACAGCUACCUCACCUACAGUAGUCAAGAUGGCAACAAUACCCGAAAUCCGAUGUGUUCUUACUCUAUUAGAACAAGGAUAUGAAUUAAUUUCUCUAAUAUGGAUUUGUUAAUGGAUAAAAAUCCAAAUCCAACAGGUUUAUGGACAUAGGUCUAGAGAUAUAAUACCCAAACCCGUAAUGCUAUGGGUUUUUAAAACCCGAUCUAUCAUAGUGAAGCAAUCAUAUUAGUCCACAAUAUCUUUAAUUCUUGCAAACUGUGUAAUUAGUUUUUAUUUUUGUCUAUAUUUAAUGUUUCAUGCAUAUGCAUGCCGCAAAAUUCGAUGUGACAGGAAAUCUUGAAAACCAAAAAGGUAGUUUUUUACGGAAUGAUCUUUUGUCAUCAUGAACCAAUGGAUAUAUAAUCGCAAAAAAAAACAAUGGAUACAACAGUCAUCACCGUGAACCAAAAACAAAACCAUUGCCCGUGCGCCAACAUUCAGGGGUGUCUCCUCGUCGAAGUUUCCACGGAGGGAAGGGAAAAGCGCCUGAAAACGCCGCCGCCGACGUCGACGUCCAUCAAACAACGAUUCUACAAUGAUAUCCGGUAAACAAAUUAGCAUGUUUACACUGUGAAAGUUGAGCCUCACUCUCUUUUUCUUCUGCGAGGAAUGAAUUGCGCCUACUUGCUUAAAAAGAACAGAAAGUCCAUUUGCUCCUAGAAAUUGUUGCAGCCAUUGCUGACCAGCAUGCGGCAACUUAUCCCAAGGCCGUCACUAUCGUCACCCACAGUUGGGUCUUGUUUCGAUUUUCGAUGCCAUCUAAGGGCAAGUAUUAUAGUAGGUUGUAAGCUGGCUAGAUGCUGAGGUGGAGGAGAAAAGGGAGGAGAGAGAGGAGAAGCGGGCUGUAAGCUUACAGCCAGCCUGAGCACAGGAACCAAGAAACUUUGUGAGAGAGACAAGUGGACCAUGUAUUAAUAGUGAAUAGCUAACUAUUGUAUGGGUGGGCUGGGAGAAGGCUGCAAAGAACCUUACAGCCAGUAAGUGGGUUGUAUUAUUAAACUUGCUCUAAACAAGUUGCUAUUUUCAGCUACGAAACAGUAUUUUUCUAUCAGAACAAAUCAACAACAUAAACCACAAAAACGAUCAAACUGCUGGGAUUGGUCAGAGAGACAGCAACUACGGACCCUGCUGGGAUUUCUUAUGCCGCUAGUCUUCUCCCUCUCGCUCGUCACUUCAUCAGUCAAUACCGGCGGGCCGGCUGCAAUGCUAUGGAAUGCUGGCCAUGGCCCGAUUGCCCGAAUGCGACCACACUGCACGUGCACGCCACGUGUCCCGUCUACCACACACCCAAAGUCCAAUGGACUAGGAUCCAUUAACCACUAUAGCUCUCUUCUGAGGCUCCAAACAGAUAAUCUAAAAUCAUGUCUAAAAUUUAGCUAACCGUAUAUAACUUUAGAUCGUAUAAAAGUGAACUAAAAUGAUCUAAAGUUAUAAUCCUCAACUUUAGCCAACUAAAUUUUGCAUCCAAAAAAUCCAAACAAACUCUAAAUUCAGGUAAUCUUAUAGUUAGAUGUGCAAUUAUUUCUAGACCAAAUUUGAAUCAUAUAAGGGCAGGAUAUAGUUAAUAAGCUUUAUCGUUUUUUUUUUCUCCAGAUGCAUGGCAGACAUUCUCCUGCUCACGCAAAAGUGAAGCCCCAAAAAGCGGUGUAACGAACUGGAGACCCACCAAUCCACCAUCCAUCGCCUAGGGCUGCGAUCCGUUUUUCAAAUAAUAAAGCAUAUCCACCGGCCUUCACUACAUGGUGAUAAAGAGAGUAAAUCACAGAUCAUAAAGCUUAAACAGUAAAAGUUCAAUUCCACACUAAGACCAGUUUUCAGUGGUGAUUUCACCUUAUAGUUUCCAACGUAUUCAGUUUUUGGAAAAGUUUCAUCCAUAUGAAAGUCUCUUUACUCCCAUAAAACUCUCGUCAUCUUUCUCUUCAUUAAUAUGGUACUGUAUUAGCAUAAUUAAUGUUCAUGAAACUUUAAUAAAACUCCAUUGAGAUUGGCAUAAGAAAAAACACUGACCCAAGCACCGGAAGUGAAAAUUUACAUUACCAACCGUAAUCACGGUAAACCAGCGUCAUCAACUUCUUUUGGUCUUCGCUUUGUUGCAAUUGCAACCGCACCCAAAACCAGAGCCAACAUGUCGCUUAGAAAACUACUUGCAAACAUGUUUUUUUUUUGCUGACACUUGUUGGGCACAAUAUUAUUCCCAUAGAGUUAAGUUGUCCAACAUAGAGCAUGCGCUUGUCCUUGUCAAACAUUUUAGUCUCCUAUUUAACCCUAACACUAUCAUCCAUUGAUUAACACAAAGUCACCAAUAUUAUUGGGUGAGAUAAUAGCAAAAACAAUAUAAAAGUCACGCCAAACAGACCUAGCCAAAUGACAAGUUUUGAACAUUUGAACAAUUAAUCUCAUUGCUAAAAGGGCACGACUUUUGUUCCAUUUUCAGAUUGCUUCUAUAAUGAGGUUAAACACAUGGAGAUCCUAGAAGCCUAAACCUCCCUUUUUCUUUGAUUCUAUCUACUUUCCCUAGCAGAUCCAAUUGAUUUAAUAUCUGUUCAUUUUAGCUCCCCUCCACCGAUAAAAGCAUACUCCCUCUGUCCCUUUUUCAGACUUGUUGUAGCUGUGCUUCUAGCUGUCUCCAUUCAAAGCAUCAUGCAUGUAUCUAGGUGAAGGCUUCGGUCCAAAUUCAUUGAAUGUUGCUUGUACCUGAGUGAAGGGUAGAACGACUCUCAAAUGAGGACAGAGGGAGUAUGUACUUACAUCAUCACAUAGUCCUUUAGUUCAAUCAAAACACGACAUCUUGUUCAAAAAUAUAAAAAAUAAAACAAACCAGUUGCUUUGUACUCAUCCCUGAUGACGAGUGUCUUCUGUGGUGCAUUUCAAAUCUUGUGUGUGAUGGAGUUCCCUUCAGCUUCAACGGUGGCGGUCGGUGGCGUGUUCGAGUGGUGACAAGGUUUUCUGGAAUCUUAUGCUUGCAAAGGGUCCAUGAACCUUUUGUAGUUUGCACUUUUCUAAGGGCCUUUUGUGAAAGUAGGGUAGGGCAGAUGUCCUCUGUAUUCCUUUAUGGCAUACUCCCUCUAUACCCAUAAAAAAGUCGUUUUAGAUAAAAUUUAAGUCAAACAUUAAGAAUAUAAAACAUGAAAUUGUUGAAUUUGGAAAUGUAAAAACCAUAUAAAUAGAUUUGUCUUGAAAAUAUUAAUGCUUUCAUAGAAGUAUAUAUACACCACUUGUUGAUAAAUAUUUUUAUAUAAAAACAACGAGUUAAAGUUAGGUUUUAGAGACCAUAUCGUUGUCUUAAACGACUUUUUUUAUAGGUAUCGAGGGAGUAAUUGUAAGUACAAGCGUCUUUGUACGUUUUCUUAUAUUAACUUUUAAUAAUACAGGUUUGCUUGAUUAAAAAAAAAAAGGCUUUGCUGGCUCGCCGACGACACGGCGCGCGGCCGCGGCAGCGUGGUAGAGCUAGAGCAACGACGCGCGAGGCCGCGCACGGGCUGCACCUGCACUCUCCUCGCUCGAUCGCAUGGCCCUCCUCUUUCUCGCACAAGUGCGCGCAGCAAAGCCGCACAGAUAGCUCGCCGAUCGAGCUCUGGCCGAGCGCGCGCCUGCCUGAUGAGCCGCAGCCGCUGCGUAUACUCUGCUCACCGUCCUGUUGUUAAUUACGUACCUUGUUGAUGUCAUCUCGUGAUGUCUUGAAAAAUGUCAUUUUUUUUUCCCCCUUGGAAACAGAACAGCAUCAUGCUGCUGCACCAGGGGUUAUGGAAGAGGGUUCCUCUGUCUCCCACUUAUUAUGCGUUGAGGUGUUGCGGCAGAUUCGAUUUACUGAAGAUAUGCCGACGAUCGAGUGAGGAUGUCGUCCUGCUGUCAUUCAGCAGCAGUGGUGCUGGACAAGGCGGUGAGGAUUAAUAACUUACUCUUGCUUAAUUCAUGGGUCUCAACACAAUACAUUCUGUUUUAAUUACAUGGAAGUUUGGCUAGAAUAAUACACAUUCUCAACUUAUAUCUUAAUUUAGGCAUUUAGGCAAUGCUAGUCAUGCAUGGAUCACACAGCGACACACACAAGUCGACGACGACUACUACUGCUUGGUGAUGGCGUAGACGGCGUAGAUGAUGCCGGGGAGGUAGCCGAGGAAGGUGAGGAGGAGGCAGAUCCAGAACUGGUGCCCGCACCCGAACUUGAGGAACACACCCAGCGGUGGCAGGAUGAUGGCGAUCAGGAUGUCCACGCAGUUGGCCGUCCCCUCCGACAUGGCUGCCUGCCUUCUCGAUCUGCUUUGCUAGCUUCGGUGAAACUCGAUCGAUGGACGGACGCAGUACUCCGGCCGAUGAUCCUCCCUGUAGUCCUGCUUUUGCUUGGCUUGGAUAGUUGGAUGGAUCGGAUUCUUCCUGAUUUCCUCCUUCCGCUUGCCCUGGUACCGGCUCUGGCUGGUGGUCGUGCUUCACUUUAUAUAUAGACAGAACGGACCGGGAGGGAGACAGCGUAGAAUCCAUCUCUAUCACCACCAGUGGAACACGCAGCAGCAAGCAAGAGGACACGUCCCAUGCAUCGAUGGUGCCGCCUACGAUACGACGUCUCCCGCGACGGACGGCAAACCGUG
rnacentral:lncRNA from 1 species